AUAUUAUUAUCUUGAUACUAAAAAAAAAAUAUUUUAAAUUUUUUUAGUUAAAUUAUAUUUUUAUAGGUAAUCUAGGUUGUUUUUCGAUAUACAAGAUCAACUAAAUUGUAUCAGGUCAACUCGCACACAACUUAAAUGUUUUUUCACUAGAAAAUAAUUAUUAGCAAUAUCUAAAAAAAAAUUACAUUAAUUUUAUUUUAUGAGACCCGCAGCAUAGCACAGUAUUUAAAAGAGUCAUGCAUAUUUUAUAAUUUUUUUUGAAUAGAUUGAAAUUCAAAUACUAUAUUUCAACGCUAUCUUUGCUCAACCUCCAUGGUCUUCUUCAAAUUAAUUUUGCUCAAUUACCCUCCAUCUCUAGUACAGACACCAACCAUAGCAAACCAUUUUCUUGAAGCCAUUUUUGAAUCGAAUCCAAACUUGUAUUUCUUCCCAACCUCCAAAGAUGUUAAUAAAUUUUAUUUGUAUUUUUAAAAAAAUUUAAAUUUUAUUUAUUUAUUUCAAAUUAAUACGUUUUUAGUAUUUUUUUUUAAACCAUUUUGAUGUGCUAAUAUCAAAAAUAAUUUUAAAAAAUUAUUAUUAUAUAUUUUAAUACAAAAAAUUAUUUAAAAAAUAAGAACAACCUUACUCAAAUCUAGAAAAGCAAUAUUCAAUGAAACUCGUGGCAGUGCUAAGAGACUGGUGAAUGAAACCCCAUGAAAACAAGAACACACAUCUUGGAAAUAACUCGUAAUAAUAAUAAAGAUGCCCCUGUGAUCAAACAAAGGGGAAAGCAGAUCAAGCAUUAAAUGCAAAUUAUAAUUUAAAGAAUCCCUUGUGAGAUCGAGCUAAAUAGACAUAUUCUAAACACAAGCCAGACCCAAAUUAGAAGAUUUUAUAAAUAUUAUUUUUAAAAAUAUUUUUUAUUUAUAAAUAUAUUAAAUUAAUAUUUAAAAAAAUAACUCAACCGCACUCUACACACUUCAAAACUCAAACAACUGAAUCUCUCUGGUUAAGGACAUGUAAAGCCAACCGUAUAUAAAAGCCUAUUUUGGCUACUCGUUAGCAUAUUCGACUUCCCCUUCUCCUUCCUCUUCCCCUUCCCCUUCCCUUUCGUUUGGGCUGCUCUUAAUUGAUCACGUUGCAUGUGAACAAUAAAGAGUGUCUUCACUGUUCAUGGUCGAACCAGUCUGACCCAAACCUAAAUGUUAGACUGGUCCGACCUAGUAAAAUAAAAAAUCCAAAAACAUUUUCUCAGAUAUUGUGUUUUAUUAAAAAAAAAAACUAGUGUUUAACAUUAAUCAAUAACACUACAUAAUUACAUUAAAAGGAGAUUGCAUGAUGACGUAGUAUUUGCAGAAUUUGAUCGCAAUCUCAAUUUUAUUCUGAUGAUAUUUUACCUGAUGUUAUUGUAUGCUCAAGACGCCAUGGAAACUGUAGUUCUUGUCGGAAGGAUUUCAUAGGUUAUGAAAUUACACAUAGUUUAAUGGAAUAAUAAACAAUAUUUUUUUAUAAAGUAUUGUUUAUUUCAUGAUGUAAUAGUUGUAGUUAAAUCUACAAUAUUAAAAUUUAAAACCAUCAAUAAUAACAUAUAUAUAUAUAUAUACACACACACACACACACAACAGUUUUAUUCCAAACCAGAUCAACCUUACUACAAAAAGCCCUACAAAUUUACUAAGCCUCAAAGACCUUUCCAGUCAAAACCCAAAACAAAAUUUGACCCCAAAAACAUUACCUGUUACAAAUAAGACCAGAAAUGACAUAUAUCCCGUUUCUGCAAAGUCAAUACCAAACUUCAUAAGCUCUAAAUAGAUGAAGAUACCAUCAACCAAAUACAAAAUCUCUACAUUGAAGCUACAGACAUUGACCACUCUCCUUCAGACACUUUUAAAGAAGAAUUUCAAAUCGAUGAAAUAGCUACCACUAGUGCUACUUCAGAUACCUCUACAAAUUUCAAACAAAUCAACGUCUUGACCCAAGACCAGAAAUUCAUUCUUGAGGCUAUCAAAAGACUUGAUGAUCCUCACCUUCAAAAAACCUACUUGGAAAAAUUAUUGAAAGACUUCAAUCAACCAGAGCACCCUCCAAAUCGCUCUAUAUUACCCUCUACCAGCACCAAUACCUAUGACCUUACAAAGAUCAUUAACAAAAAGAAAUUCAAAACCACAGUUACCAUUCCAGAAUUACAUUCUGAGAUAAAAACCCCUCAAAUCCGAAUUGCAAUCCCUCAAACAAGCCCAACAAAAAGACUUUGCCAUAUUACAACAUCUUCUGUCCAAAAUUAAAAGUCAGUCUGAUACAAAAGAUCAAACCAUUGAAUCUCAUGCAUUACCACAUACACUUACAAAUAUUGAGCAUAUUCCAGAUGAUUUCCUAAACGUAUUAACACAAAUAUCUUCUAAAAAAUAUUUAAUUAGAAUUAUUCUUAUUUUUUUAAAAGAUUUCAAACUUGAUACCAUUGUCUUAUUUGACACAGGUGCAGAUUUGAACUGCAUCAAAGAAGGAGUGGUUCCAAAAUGAUUUUUACAAAAUACCUCUAAAAAACUCUAUGCUGCUAAUAAUUCAAAAUUACAUAUUGCAGGAAAAACUCAAGCCUCUAUUUUCAACAAAGGCAUUUCUCUCAGAACAUUUUUUGUUGCUACAAAAGAUAUCAAUCAUACCAUCAUUCUUGGCACUCCAUUCAUUGACAUGAUCACUUCAUAUCAGGCACAUCAUAAUUAUAUUACUUCCAAAAUCAAUAGCAUCAAACUUGUUUUCCCAUUCUUAAAGAAGUCUAAGACUAGAAAUUUGAAUUUAAUUAAAGCAUGCUCCAUACAUACUUAUCAUAUCAAUGCACUAAUUCAUGGAAAACAAUUCCAUUUACAUGAUUUACAAAACAAUGUUUCUUUUUGUUGUAUAAACAAACAACUACAAAACUCUGAUUUACAAAAAAACAAACGUUGAUUUACAAAAGAAAAACGUUGACUUACAAAAUAAAAUUAAACAACAAAUCUGUUCAGAAUUACCUAAUGCUUUCUGGAAAACAAAACAACACAUCGUUGAUCUUCACUGUGAAGAUACUUUUUCAGAAAAACUAAUACCUACAAAAACAAGACCUAUACAAAUGAAUGUUGAUUUAGAACAGCAUUGCAGACUUGAAAUCCAUGAUCUCAAGUUUAAAGGUCUUAUCCAAAUGUCUCGAUCACCCUGGUCGUGUGCAGCCUUUUAUGUGAAUAAAAACUCUGAAAUCGAAAGAGGCACACGAAGACUUGUGAUCAACUACAAACCUCUAAAUUCUGCUCUCAAAUGGAUCAGAUAUCCAAUCCCCAAUAAAAAAGAUUUGUUACAAAAAUUGCACUUUGCAUUCAUAUUUUCUAAGUUCGAUAUGAAAUCUGAAUUUUGGCUAAUCCAUAUUGAUCCCAAAGAUAGAUACAAAACUGCUUUUACAGUUUCUUUUAGCCAAUCCGAAUGGAAUGUCAUGCCCUUUGAACUAAAAAAAUACUCCAUCUGAAUUUCAAUGCAUCAUGAAUGACAUUUUCAAUGCACAUUCAAAAUUCUGCAUUGUUUUCAUUGACAAUGUGCUUAUUUUUUCACAUUCCAUAGAUCAACAUUUCAAACAUCUACAUACUUUCUUUCAUACUGCAAAACAAAAUGGUUUAGUUGUUUCUAAAACAAAAAUUUCUCUCUUCCAAACUCGCGUCUGUUUUCUAGGCCAUUAUAUUUGUCAAGGCACUGUAACACCAAUAGAGAGGUCUUUUACCUUUACAAACAAAUUUCCUGAUAAGAUCACCGAUAAAACCCAAUUACAAAGGUUUUUAGGCAGCCUUAAUUAUGUUCUAGACUACUACCCCAAUAUUAGCCAUCUAGCCAAACCCUUACAUGACAAGUUAAAAACAAAUCUCAUUCCUUGAUCCGACCUUCAUACCAACCUAGUCAAACAGAUUAAGAAACAGGUCCAAACCAUUCCCCUCCUCCAUCUAGCUAACCCGUUAGCUCCUAAGAUAGUCGAGACCGAUGCCUCUGACCUAGGUUAUAGCGGAAUUCUCAAACAAGUUCAAGAUGACAAAGAGCAGAUCCUCCAAUACACAUCCGCCCACUGGAAUGAUUGCCAGAAAAAUUACUCUACUAUAAAAAAAAAGGAAAUCCUUUCAAUUGUUCUCUAUAUUACAAAAUUUCAAAGUGAUUUACUUAAUCAAAAAUUUCUUUUACGUGUUGACUGCAAAUCCACAAAAGAAAUUCUACAAAAAGAUGUCCAAAAUCUUGCUUCAAAACAGAUUUUUGCCAGAUGGUAAGUCAUUUUAAGCAUUUUUUAUUUGAUAUUGUCUACAUUAAAGGAGAUUCAAAUUCCAUUCCUAAUUUCCUAACCUGAGAAUUCCUCCAAAACAGAUCUUGAUGCCUCCGAAAGCAAAGGCCAAAGACAAGGGGAAAGCCCCUCAAACCCAGCCUACAAAACCAGAAAGCCCCAAGCUUUCUACAAAACUCAUGCUUUCAGCUAUCUUAGUUGUUAAACCAAUCAAAUCCCGGUAUGAGGCAAUUAUUAAAGAAGAAGAAACUACAAAACCCCAACAGGUACAAACAAACGCAGUUCAACAUUAGGUUGACACUAUAUCCAAAUAACCAAAAUUACUCCUUGCAUUAUAAAAAGUGUCUCAACAGACCUCUAGUGACUUCGUAUCUCAAACAGGUAGUAUUUAUAAACCGCUUUCAAAACCUCAAGGAGGCAUUUCUACUUCAAAACCCCUCAUUUCUUUCCAACAAACCAGUUUUUCAAAAAACAAAUCCAAAUAUAUUUUCAAAACUACUUUCCAAAAUAUUUUAACUAUGAAAGAAGGAUUUUCUCAUGAAAACCCUUCCAUUGUUGCUUCAAAAAUUUUCCCUUCAAAUUGGUACUAUGAUUAGUACUUAAAAGUGCAUUUUUAUCAAGGUUUUAUAUCAUCAUUUUGCACUUAAAUUAUCAAUAACUCCUUAACUAAAACAUGUUUUAUAAUAACAAGUCUAAUACUAUAAAAUGCCCUAAUAUAUGGUAAAUGUUCAUCUUAAAUGCAAGCCUAUCACAUAAAUCAAAGGAUUGAUUGAUGAAUUCAACUACUAAAAUUUAUGAAGAUAAAGAGAGGGUGAAACUUAGAAAAGAGAUGUUGGUGCAGUCCAAACUGGAACAUUGUUCGGUAAUUGGGUCAUAUCUCGAGUUCUAGAUGUCCAAAUGACCUCAAAUGUUUACACAAAUUCAGUAAGACAUAGGCCUACAACUUUCAUUUGGACAUCAAGAUCUAAGAAGGCCGUUUUCAAGUCCAAAUUAUAGCAGCAACGGAGAAGUUCGAAUCUGUCCUGCAGCCCAGACAUUGUUCAGUGUUCAGCCCAUAUCUUGAGUUCUAGAAGUCCAAGUGACCUCAUCUUUUUUUUCCUAGAAAGAUAAGACAAUUUCCUACAACUUUCAUGCGAACAUAUGGACCCAGUUUUGAUUCUAGCAUUUUUGUUUUAUUCAGACAAGAAGAUAAGGAUUUUCACCAAGUCAAAAGUUGGUCACCCACUCAACAAUUAGUCAUCAAAUCAAUAAUUCCGAAUUUUGGCCUAUAAAAGGAGGCAUUUGCAUUGCCAUUUGGUUGGCUUGGUUGUUCAGAUCAAGCUCAUGCUCUUUAUUUCUCUCUUUAUAUUUUGUUUUGUAAUUUUUAAGUUUUGCUUUCAUUAAUAUCUUGUUUAUGCUUUUCAUUUCCUUUCCUUUACUUAGUUAACUUGUAUUUUCUUUAUGUUCUUGUUUUGUUUAUUUAUAUUUCUCUUCUUCAUUAUGUUUAACUAAGUUUAUUAAAUCAAGGUGAAAAGGUUACACUAAUGGUGUAAGAAUAAAUAUAGUGUAAACUCAACAUGGAUCUUAAUGUUUGAUAUUAACAUGUCUUAUCUUUUUAUCUUACUAAUUCUUAAUACCUUGCUUGUUAAAUGGUUAAUCUAGAUUUGUGUUGUAUAACACUUGGUACAGCAAAUGCUUGGCACUCUCAUAGCCCAACAGUAUGGUAUUACCUAUACCUAGGCUAUGAAAGGAACUUGAUUUGUUGUUAACAUCAGUUAACAUCAUGAAUUCCUGACAAUAUUUAAAAGUUUGGUGUUAUGUAAAUAAGAUAAUUAAUAUGAUCAUGUUAAUAAUUUAUAAUGAGCUAUUAAUGACAAAUCAUCUGAUUGGAACCUCCUCCGUGUGUGGUUUUCAAAUUGAGUAAUAAGAGUUUAUACUAUACUUAUUUGAAAUACCAUUGGUGGAUCCUCUAACCUUGACAUUUGUUUUUAUCAUUAUUUAAUCCUUACAUUAAUCUUCCAUCUCUAAGUUCUCAUUAAUUUCUUCCUCUUCUUCUUUUAUUAUUAUUAUUAUUAUUAUUAUUAUUAUUAUUAUUACUACUAUACUACUACUAUUAUUACUAUUACUAUUAUUAUUAUUAUUAUUUACAUUUUGUUUAUAUUAUAUAAUAUAUCUUUUUGAUCUUUUCAUAAACUCAGUAUAUAGGCUGGAAACCUGUGACCCGAUCUUUUAGAUCAUUCUCAGUUAUAACAACGCCAUAUACUGAGUAUUAUUAUUAUUAUUAUUGUUAUUGUUAUUGUUAUUGUUGUUGUUGUUGUUGUUGUUGUUGUUGUUGUCUUGUUAUUUAUAAUUUAUACAAUUAACCUCUCUAUGGUUCGAUCCCGGUCUUGCCGGGUUAUUUAUUACUUCGACACUCCUGCACUUGGGAGAAGACAUCAAUCUUUUGGUCGUGUCAUACUACAAACCCUGGAAUUUAGCCAAACCACGAUCCUUGAGAUUACUAAUUCUGUCAAGUUCAAACACUUCAAACUUCAUUCUAAUCACACUGAACCGGCAUAUUCUACAUGUAUCAUUCACAAAGUCAUUCACCCUAAAGACUGGGGACAACCCUUACAUCAACCUCUUUCCUUCCCCAUACACUUUCGUACAAACCCCCAAGACUUCAAUACUUUCUAUACGUGCUGGGAUUAUCAACAGGCAUGGUUCAAUGCCUUCCUCCUACAAAAUCCAAACCAUAGUCAUUCUUGGCUUUUCUACUUCCAUAAUGACAUGAAUACUACAAAUCUCCCCCUCUGGUUCCUCCAAUGGUGGGCUACCUCAAAGACCAUCCUCUAGUUGAAAACGGCUACCUUCAUUUCAAAAAUAAUUUUCAACCAGCACCUCCUGAAAGGAAGUUCUCUUCCCUGCUCAUUUUCUGUACAAAAUUUUUUGUGUCAUGGGUAUGUUCAAGGUUCUAUGAUUAUAAUCUACAAAACAGACAUCCAGUUCUUGUUCGUAAAUUCAAAAUCAAAUGGUGGGAUUCUUCUGCAGCUGAAUCUAAAAGUUUCAAAUUAGCUGUUACGGAAUGGUUACAAAAACAUCAAAUAGCUCCCAUCAUUGAUCAUCAUUCUCAAUCAAAGUUUCUAGCCAGAAAGGCUCAAACGGCAACUCUCCUUGCCUCUACUAGAACUGAAGAAGAAUACCCAUUAUACAAAACCAAGACCCAAAAAUGGUCUUGUCCCAAUCUAGCUCAUCUGGAUCGAUAUCUCCUGCCAUUUCCCUUGGAGAUGAUAAUGAAGAUGAUUGUUUUGGUAUCCUACCACCUAUCAAGCGACAUUAAAAAAAAAAGUAUUUUUCAAGCUUUCUUAGGCUCAUCUGUUUAGAGCCAUAUCUUUUCGACUCACCUGUUUUGAGUCCUUUUUUUAUUUUAAGCAUGUCUGUUUUAGGUUUUCUUUUACAAAUAUUACCUGCUACUACAAAUAAACAAAUCCAGUGUCGGUGGCAAGAAAACAACAGAUGAAAGUCCCACAAAAAACAUGGGUAUUUUUCAUUUUGUCGUCACCCAAUCAUGGCAGAUGAAGACAACAGAUGAAAGUCACACAAAAAACAUGGGCAUUUUCCAUUUUCUCGUCACCCAAUCAUGGCAGGCAAUACUACAUGGGUUCAUAGCAAUACCUCAUGGGUUCUGACGGAAUCUCCAAGCUUUCUCCACAAGACAUUUUGGCCUCUUCCAUGUCAACUCGUCUAUAAAAAAGGACUCCUAAAUCUUCAGAAGGCUGACUAUCAUUUUCCUGAGAAAAUUUUAUUCUCCCUUGUAACUCAUACUUGUAACCUAUAUCCACUCUCCUAUGUACCCAAUAUCUCUUGUAUUAAUUUACAUUACAAAUUUAAGUAAGAUUAUAUUUUCAUUAUUUACAUUCUUGUUAUAUUUUAUGUACGUUAAGUAUGCUCUGUGUUUGAUCAAGGAUCCUGACAUUGUUGGUCUUGCCUUGUUCAUUCGCAUCAAAAAUCUAUCUAUAUUAUAUAUUUCUUUGAUCUUUUCAUAAAAUCAGUAUAUAGGUUGAAAACCUGUGAUCCAAUCUUUUAGAUCAUUCUCAGGUAUAACAACGUCGUGUACUAAGUGUUUAUUUUAUAAUAUGUUUUAAAAAUUUAUUUAUUUUAUACAGUCAUCUGUUGUAAUCUGUUGUUUAUUUUACACUACCAGGAGAUAUAUAUAUAUAUAUAUACACACACACAUACACACAUUGGUUAUUUUAUAAUCUUAAUUUCAAAAAUAUUCUUAACCAAGCACAUUAAAUAACUUUUUAUUAAAUCUCAAUUUUAACCAAACAUAUUUUUCAACAACCUAACCUUAACUAAAAAUAUUUUUUUAUAAAAAACAACCAUAAAAGCUACCAUAACACCAAAUACAAUUGGACUUAAACUUUAUCUAGGGCAAAGCUUUCCUUCUUUACUACAAGAAAUUUAUAUACUUUCUUAGAUGCAUGUAAUCAUCAUUUAUUGCAUCUUUAAAAAUAUAAUUAUAGCUAUUUUUUAAAGUGUUUUUCACUCAAAAAUAUAUUAAAAUAAUUUUUUUUAUUUUUUAUAAAUUAUUUUUAAUAUCAACAUAUCUAAAUAAUUUAAAAAUAAAAAAAUAAAAUAAAAUUUAAAUUUUUUAAAAUACAAAAUCAAACAGGAUUUUAGUUUUAAAUAACUCUGGUCACAUCCUCUCUUUCAGGGGCAAAAAAUGAUAGGCGUCCCUCAUGUAGGACCCGGAGCAAAUUUCUAAUCGCGUGUUCUGGGAUUCAAGAGAAAACACUGCACUUGUCUGCCAAAAGUAGAUGCAUCACAUAAUUUAUCAAAGCAGCACCAAAAGUGUAGGUGUAUUAUUUCACCAAUAAAGAAGUCUACACUAAUCAACAUCCAUACAGCAUUUAGUAUCCAGUGGCAGCAUAAUCUCAGGUGACACUAUACGCCGUUCUUAUAGAUACUCUAGGUUCGUUCUUUCUCUGAUUCCGAUCCAAUUUGAAAGCAUCAUAUAUGGCUUCAACUUGGCCAGCCAUAAUAUUACUAUUGUGGUGGCUAGAUUGCAGAGAAGGGCACCUUAAUAUCUCGUGUAGCGACGGACCAGAUUUCAUUUCUGUGGCAGUUUGUGUGUUUUGGGUGCUUGAUCUAAUUUGCGAGCCACUGAACUUGGCCGAAACAGUUUUCCUUGGUCUAUUCUCACUCUGGAUCUGCAAAUCAGAUAAAACCUAUUGAAGUUUGCAAAGAUAAACAAACAACGUCAUAUUUUCAUGUCUGCGCACUACAGCAUCAAUUAAAUGAAUACCACGAUAAAGAAAUUGAGUUUAUCACCAAGUUGGAUUAUAGCAGCUUUGAAUGAUAAAACUAGUUCUACUCUCGUUUCAGAUAAACAGAAGAACCACCUUUCUGUUCUCACAUUACAUAAGGAUCAAAUGGUAAAAUCUGAAUUGCCCCAAGAAAUUAAAAUCAAACAAAUAACUUCAAAAAAAAUGAAACAAGUUAUGAUAACCUUUCUGCUUAUUUAAAGCUUUGCAAACUUCUAAAGCUUACCAAAUUUGAAGAAUCCUCUGGCAUUGAGAUUGCACUCCUGCUACUGCCGUCAUCUCUCUCGAAGACAAAAGAACGAACCAUGCUUGAUCCAUGCUUCCGGGACGAUGGCAGAGAACUUUUUGACCCCCGCCCUAGAAAAGAUGACUGCAAUAUUUUCCAAAAGAAAUUUAUUGUCGGUGGAAUUAGCAAGAAGAAAAAAAUGACUCAAUUAACAUUGAUUUGGUCAAAUUUGCGAUAUUCAUUAAGGAGUAGGGUGCUAGGGUUCUUCUGUAAAUAAGAUGCGCCAUUGACAGCAUAGACAACAAGACAUCAAUCGUGACAAAAAAGCAAACCAUUUACCUUUGAUGACAUGUUCCUAUUUCCUGUUAUGGAUCGCAUAUGAGAAUAGGCUGCAAAAUAAGUACAGUGAAUACAAGAUCAGAACCAUACUAGUAAAACUGAAACUCGGCUGCAUGGAAGCAAUGAGUCAACAAUUAAUAUGACGUGACAGAUCAUAGCGACAACCAAGUCUCAAUCCCAAAUUAAUUGGGAUCGGCUAUAUCGAUCAUUCUAUGCCAUUCCACACGAUCAUAUACCAAAUCUGCCUCGAUACCAAGAGAUUAUAUGAUAUAUAAAUGAUCGUGCAUAAAAAUAUAUAAGAUCAUACUUGUUAUCUUAGCUUUCUUUCUUGUGUCAUGCACACCAUUCAGCUUCUUUAUAAGACCAAAGAUUUCUUUGGAUCCUUCAGCCUCUGCUGGUGACAAGAAUGUAGCCUGAUCUUCCUGUUUCAAAUCAUGACCAGUUACCAUCUUGCAAUUGAAACCAUAAUAUUCAGAAGAAAAUCAUAAAAUCAUAUAAAACCUAUGGGCCAGAAGAUCUGUAUCAGCAUAGGACUUGCUAAUUAGAAGAAUAUAUAUAACCACAACUCUUGAGAGAACAUGAUUAUAGAUCUGCUAAAAACUCACUGCUUUAUAAGAAAGUUGCUCCUUAACAAGCCUCGUUUCUGUUUCCUCGUCAUCAGAUGAUAUAUAUACAUCAUCCUUAUCUGUGAACAUUUGAGAAAUCAUUUCCUUUGCUUUCUUUAAGUUCAUCCGGACAACAUGUCUUGUAACUUCUGCAGCCUCAUCUAGAAACUCUUCUUCAUCUACUUCAGCUUCUUCAUCUACUUCAACUUCUUCAUCUUCUUUGCCUUCAUAUUCUUUCUCUUCAAGCAAAGUCGUUUCCCUUUGUUUAGAACCACAUUUCAGUCUCCGCAACAGAUUUUCUGUUCCAUCAGCAUCCUGUUUCUCAAGCCACUUUUGAUGAAGCUGAUUGCGAAUUUCAUUAUCAAAUGGCUUUUCUUUGUAACCAGUUUCUAUCAUAUCAUUAAGUUCCUCAGAGUCCAAGUCAUCCUCAUCUUCCUCAGAAUCUCCAAAUCGCAUUAGAUCAUGAUCACUGUCAUCUUCUACUUCAGCUUCUUCAUCAAUAUAAGCUUUCAUAGGAUCACCUUUAGGAGAUAAAGAUAGAUCAGCCAACCCGUGUGGGAUUGGAUUGAUGUUCUCCUUAUCAUUGUCCUCUUCAUCAGAGCUAGUUAACAGAAAACACAACAAUUUCACUUUUAGAAGAGUGAGCUAUUACAUAAUUCUAGAUUUCAGUCACUUUCCAGUCAAAAAUAGAAAGGAAUGCACCUGCAUCAGGACAAAUGAAUAUAGAAUGUACAGAUUGUUUGAAGUGCUAGACACAAGGAGUGAUUUCUGGGGACAUGGAUUGGUGGAUAAAAACAUUUGUACGCUCACUUUUAGCAAUCAAACUCUAGAAGUGUGCUUAUGAUCAGGUUUGAUGAUAAGAUGCUUGCAACGGCAAAGGAAGCAAGAUUUUAGGACUUACAACUCAUCAGGAGGAGCAGAAUCGAGCUUCAAGUUCAUUGCAAGUAAGGACGGUGCUUGAACUCCUUCCAUAGGACUGCUGGGUGGAUCAUCUGAAAUCUCAUCUUUGGAGGUGCUUUUUUGGGAAUCAAAACUCAGAUCCUAAAACAUGCAUAUUAAAAACCAUUACAUACAGGAAUUCCAUUUAAAGAGUGGCGAUCACAAAACUAAAAUGUGAUGGAAACCUGAGUAUCAUCAACAGGAGCUCGAAAUGUUUGUUUUGACUCUCCAUUUAAAUCCUGCAAUUCAACAGAUUUAAUAGACUUGUAUGUACAAACAAGUUAAAGACGCUAAAACUUGAGAAGACAUGCUCCUUCCAACCGCCGACAAUUACAUUCAUCCAGUAAAUGUGACGUCUUUAACUCACCAUCAGAAAAGCCAUAGUUUUAGGACUGUGGCUUGCUGUCCUCUUAGAACCUUCAACACUCAAGUAAUCUAAACUGUUCUCCUCGUCAAAGGGAUCCGCAUUCGUUUCACUGUCUGCUCUUGCAACCUUUUGAACUUCUAUAUCCUCAAUAAGAUCAUUUUCAAAUCCACAGUCCAGUACAACUUCUCUUGAAAAAGCAUCAUCCGAGUCAUUAAAAGAACUUGUGUUUACAGAAACCAAUCUGUCACCCAUGAGAGUAGCAAAAUAAAUAGAAUAAUUGAUUAAAUAAGACAUUGAUUAAGAAAAACCCACACAAAGUCAAAGCCAAGAGAACAUAACUCACUUCUUUGAAAGCUCACGCUUCCUUAGCCGAAUCUUCUCUAAAACAGAAGAUACGGGCUUUUGAACAGUUGGGUCUGGUUUAAAUGAUGCUUCUCUAGUUUCUAAACACGUUGAAUACACAGAUAAAGAGUUUAUAAAGCAUCCAGAUAGUAACUAAUAUUCAGGAAACAACAAGACUUGCAUAAUUUAAUACAGUCCAAUUUCUACCUCUCAACAAUUUCUGAGAUUCGAUAAUGAGCUCCUUAUGUCUCUCUCUUCUUUCCUGUUUAAUUGAAAUCAACUUUAUAAAUAAUCCAUCGAAGAAAACUAAGGAAAAAUUCGUUACUGGUACAGCCACACAGAAAAUACACAUACCUUCGCUUCCCUUCUUAUGUUGGUGUGAACCGAAAACUGCUCAUCUCCAUAGCCAUCAUCUCCACUUUUUGAUCUCUUCUUCUUCUUCUCUUUCUGCUCCUCCAAACCAUCAAAAUCGGGUAGUUUCUUAUCCAAAUCCUCCACGGUCCUAAAAUCCCCAAUCUCCUCUUCCAUUCCUUGUCCAUUGAAUUCCUCAUCCACGGAAUCAAAUUCCAGAGCUCUCUUAACAUCAGCUACGCUAUCCUCGUUUCCCGAGCCACUCAAAUCAGUAUCCAAACCGUUUCCCUCCUCAAGAUUUUCCAGAUCACCAGGUUCAGAUCUGAAAAUCGGUUCGCUGAAAUCUUCCCCGGUCUGCUCUUCUGUGUCUAGGGUUUCAAGAUCGGGGGAGUCUGUUGGCUGUAUGGAAGGUGAAGGUGACGGUGGAGUGGCGUUUGGAGGAUUGAGGAGGGGAUAUUGAGAGAUUUUGACAGUAUUGGUGGCUUUUUUGAGACGUUUGAAUUUUCUUUGAGGGAGAGGAGAGGAUGGCUGUUCGGUAUCUGAGGAUGGGAGGAGUUCUUCUUCGCUGUCCAUUCUCUGUUCAAAGAUUUGCCAACGGAGGAGAGAUAGGGUUUUAGUUUUGCCAGUUGAAAUGGAGGGUGGGUUCUUUUUGUUAAGGAGAUCAGGAUCUCAUUUAGGCGGCAAAUGCUUUAAAACAAUUAGGAUUUUCUGAUUUUGAACCGCCAAAAUUAGGGAGCGGGGAUCAUGUAAAGUGUCGCCUUCGCUAUUUAAUAUUUACAUCGACUAUUUAUUAUUUUUUUACUGCAAAAAAAUUUUUUUUUAAAAGCAAAAGUUACUAUAAAGAUCCUAUAUUUUUUUAAUUAUUCUAAUGAAGACUUUUUCUUUGUUACUCUCUCUUGCGUUUAUUUAUGGUUUAUAUUUACUAGACAAUUUUCAUCAACACGGAGAUUGCUAGGAGUGAAUGAGGAAUUUGAUUUAAAACAAAGUUAUUAAACGAAAAAAUAGUUUAUCUUCAACUAAAAGAACAUUAAAUUAACUCUUAGAAUUGUCUGUCUAAAUAUACAAUAAAAAAAAGCACUCUAUGACUAUGGGCUUUUUAAGACUCUUCUGUCUUGUUUUUUCUCUUGCCAGAUAGUUUUGUUUCUUUCUAAGAGAGUUACUUUGUUGUUUUUGGAAAUGUGGUUUAAUUUAUAUUUUAAAAAAUUAAUUUUUUUUUUAUGUAUUGGAAUCAUAUUUUAAUGUGUUAAUUUUAAAAAUUAAAAAAUAUUUUAAAUUAUAUUCGCAACAACAGCUCCAAACAAAAUAUUGCUAUCAAAUUGCAGGCACUGAAAAUUAGACAAUAAAUUAUUUCAGGCCCUUUUUUAGGUAGGCAAUCUUUAUUAAUUAAUACGUGGAAGAGAUAACUUUGAUGACAACAGUAAUCAGGAAAAAUUACUUAUAAGUCAUUUCUACAAAAUUAAAAGAUUAGCGAGGUCCAUUCAUUUUUUAACGGGUCAAUCAGUUCAAUUCUUAAUUUUUUAAAGAUCAUUUUAUUCUCUACUAUCUAAAAUAACAUUCUAAACAAGAAUUUAUAUUGCUAUACAUUUCACAAGAUAACUUAUUAGAUUGAGAUUAGUUUAUUUAAUUUCGUUCCUUUUUUAUAGAUGCAUCAUAAUAAAAACUAAAUGUUAUGGAGAAAUCAUUAUAGAUCAGUGAAGUUUUUACUUUGCAUUGUAAUCGUAGUUUUACUUUCAACCUCUCAUCAUUUCAUGAAACAUUUCUUUGACUCUUUUUUUUUCUUAAUGAAUGAGUGGCAAAAAGAUGUUAUUAAAAAGAUGUGUGUGAUGUUUUUCGGUGAUCAAAUAUGAUCAUUCACUAUCUUACUAGAUAUGCAAUCGAGCAUUCUCUUACAUGGUGUACUGCAUGUAGACAGAUAAUGAUUGGAUUGCCAUCAAUGAUAGAUUGUUUGUGUCUUUUCUUCUCCUAUUAACUAAAAUACACAAUUGUCCCUUUUAUUUUAUUAUUUAUUAAAUCAAGCAUUAUUGUCAGACCCAAAUUUGACAACCAUGCCAGACAUAUAUCCCAAGGUCUACCAGACUUACUCAUGAGUUAAAAAAAUUUAAAUUUUUUAAAAACACAAUUGGACUACAAAAAUAAAUAUUGUCUUAUUUAAGCAUGAUUUUUCACUCGUAUGCAAUACAACUUAACUGCAAACUCUAACUUAUUUUAUAAAAUUGUUAUAUUCCAAGAGAAAAGAAUGAAAAAAAAAAUAUUGAGUCUAAGUGAUUUAUUUAAGGUCUUUAAAAAUAAAAAAUAAAAAUAUAUGCAUCGUUGAUGAAAAUAUUAAUUUUAUAUUUUCAUUAAGGCGCGGGACAUUUUUUUAAAAGGCUAAUACUUUUUUUAUUUGAUAAUCAUUUUUUAAUAUAUUAUCAAAUAAAAAAUAAUUUUAAAAACAACCUCCACAUCAUCCCCUUAAAUGACCAGAGGAUUUGAUUGAGAUUCUUCCACCAUUUCCACAAGUAUCAUGACAAUUAUAAACAAGUAUCAAUUGACUGGAGAACACAAUCCCAAGGUCAAGAACUAUUGACAGUUCCUGAGAGGGGCUUUCUCAACCUGAUAGUUUUCAACUGGGUGUUUUCAAUCAAGGCGUUUUCAGAACGAGCAAUCUCAAUAUCAUAGUUCUCCACCCAUGCACUCCAGACCUGUACUUUCUCAACCAGGUAGUUUCUGACCUGAGUGUUCUCAACCCAAGCAUUCUCAACCCGAUCGAGAAUGCCCGGAUUGAGAACUACCAGGUUGCGCCUUGGAUGAGGAUGACCCGGCCAAGAACUACCAGGUCUAGAAUAGAUUAAGAACUACCAGGUUGAGCAAUGUCUCGAUAAACAACUCCUAAACUUGCAAGCAUAAACCACUCAGCAUUUCUGCAGCUUCCUCAGAUGAGACCCAAUCUUACAUACCAUACCCAUGCAAAAAUAUGUCACUAACCUCACCAUAACCAUAAUCUUCCAUCCUCGAAAAGGAGAACACACAUAAGAUAAAAGAUAUUGCAACAAAAGGGACCGAAUGCAUAUCUCAAAUGAGAGAUUUAACAGUUUGAAAAAUGGUGCUACAGAGCUGCCCCUAGCCAGGUGAUCAGCUCAGUUAUAACUAUUGGCAAUAUUCAAGGAAAAAAAAUGCUCAAGGCAACUGGGGGCGCAGCCAGAGGUGGAGCUGUUUGUUUAAAUAACCGGUAAAUGUUGCAACCAAGAAAGAAUACUGAUGAAACAUGGGGGCACAGCCGGAGGUGCUGUUUGUUUAAAUAACCGGUAAAUGUUACAACCAAGAAAGAAUAAUGGUGAAACAUAUCACAUCUCAAAGUUCCACAUACUCUCAGCACUUAAUUUUGGCAUUUUUGACUCCUCAGCCAAAUUGACGGAUGCAGAAAACUGGGAUAAAGAAGGGCCAAUAUUAGAAUAUCAUUUUUGAGUUAAAAUCACUUAAAAUAGAGAAGAUUUUGGAAUCCUAGAAAUGCUUAAAGAGGCAUAUCCAAACAGGUCAAAGCACACAACAACCACCAGAAAAAAUUAAGCAGCUCACAAGCAUCAACCUAGCAUCCAAAUAGUUGAAAGUUAAGCAACCACCCAUUUUGUGACAUCACCAGCAAUCCCAGACAUGUAUUGCUUCAAGCCAUAAAAAGUAAUAGGUAUUUUAUUGAAAACUCUAGUCAUUGAUUCAGAAUUCUGUUUAAAAGAACAUCAACAUGCCAGCGCCUUUUUGUGAUUGAAAAAUGGAAGCAAAAUAUAAAUAUUAUGCUUUCCACGAACAGAACAUUGUCAGUUAUAAUUCAAUUGAAAACCUAGAAAAAACAAACAUCCUUGUGUUGCAGAAUCAAUAAGAUGCAUCUAGGAAUUAUAAAAUGGAGACACAAAAUGCAAACCAAGAGUACUCUAGAAACACAAUUCCUAUCAAUGAACCGAUACCUUUAAGAUCCAAAAAUAUAACCAUGUCCAGUUUAAUGGAGGAUCAAAUUCUUAAAGCAUGCAAUAGAUUGCUAAAUGUAUGCUCAAUUCCAAGAUGAGGCUCAUACAAGUUACUAUCAAUUAGAAUGAGAACCUACAGUAAUUUCAACUGGUGCCUUUUCAACUUCUACUUCUUGAUUUUACUUAUUAAUUUAGAAACCAAAUUCCAGCAACUAGCCAAUAAGCAUAUUAAUUCAAGAGAUUACCUUGAAGUUCCCAUUCAACUUUGAAUUCGUCGACCACUCCAAGCCCAGAUUCUUGCUUGACGUUUGAUACGUAGCCUUGAGCACAUCAUCACCAUAGACCUUCUGAGAUACCGCAAAAUCCCAUGAAUUCUUUGCCAAGUCAUAACACGGCUCAAAUGUCAUCAGCCCACGAUGCACAUAAGUAUACUUUAACUUGCAAUUCGCCGUCCCGACCAUAUAAUUAGCAGAUAUUUUGUUCGCUGAAUCAAUCACAAGAGUCCCGUCCAAAAUUGUACGUUUAUCCCCUCUACUAUGAAUGUAUGUCAGAUUCAAGGGCUUGUCCACAACCUUAACAGCAUUCAUAAACUGAAACCUAAAAUCCUGCACCACAAAACCAGUUGAAAAUCAAGUCAACGUCAGUAACAAAAUCUAACUAAAAAAAAUUCUAGCUUUCCUUAAUUUCACAGCUACAAGGGAUAAAAACAUGUUACUAAUCAGUAGCUGAAACCCUAGAUUUUUAAAAAUGAAUCCCUUAUUUUAGAGAUUCAAAAACCCUAAUCCCUAAGAAGUUAAUUUUGUUAGGAAGCCAAACUCGCAGUCAAUUGAUACGAAAUCAAAGUCAGCAAAGCAAGUUCAAACUACCUGCCCAGUCGAAAACCCUAGUUACCUACAAAAUUGUCAGCCACCAAACAGACCUUAUGCGAUUAAGAAAGCAGAGCAAUGGAGUUUAUGGAGGAGUUACCUUUUUGGGAACGUUGUAGUCUACUAUGAAGAAGCCAGGUUUCUCGACAGCUAGAGACAAGCCGUUUAAGCUAGGGCCGUUGACGAAGGUGGCGUCGGUUACAGAAGCCCGAAGCCUAACAUCGCCGGUGUUGAAGGCGACAGUAGCAGCGCCGGUGCUUUUGUCAUUUUCGUACCUGCCCUUCAAAGACGCUCUCAUUUCGUGAAAAACGAGAAACACAAGGCAAGAGGAUUAUCAGUGCCAGCAAUAUUAAUCGGUGGUUGGUAAGUAUGCAAAGUUAUAUUUAUACGCGGGAUUGUUUCAGAGAGUGUUAUCACCGAGGUUUAUUAAGAGUUUGUAGAGGGUUAUUUUUAAAAAUAAUUUUUUUGUAUUAAAAUAUUAUUAAUUUUUACUUUUUAAAAUAUUUUUAAAAAAUUAAUUUAAAAUAAAAAUUAAAAAAUAUCAAAAAAAUUUAAAAGGACUUUUAAAAUAUAAAAACAAACAGCUUUUAAUUCUUUUAUUAAUCAAUUAUUUUUUAAAAAUAUAUAUUUUUAAAUUCAUUUAUAACUUAAUCUUUUCUAUCAAUUUUUUAUUUUUCCUAUUUUUUUAAAUAUAUAUAUAAAAAAAAUAAGAUAAAAAGAUAGAUGAAAAACAAGCAUUUUAUAAAAUAAAAUAUUGUACAAUGCUUCAUCUUAAAACCAAGCUAGUUUUUAGAGUUUUAUGAUAAUAAAAUCGUAUUAAUAGCGAGUUUAGUAAGAAAAAUAUUAAAAUAAUAUUUUUUUUAUUUUUAAAAUUUUAUUUUUUAUUUCAAAACAUUUAAAUAAUUUGAAAAUAUUAAAAAAAUAAUUUGAAGUAAAUAAAAAAUAAAAAAAUAUUUGUUUUAAAACACAAAAAUAAAUGCACUCAAAUACCCAGAAAACGAAUGCAUUAACUAUUAUAUAAUACAAUUGUUAUUCAUUAAAAACUCAUGCACGUUGGCAUUCAGUAUAAUAUUACCUAGCACAAUAUUUAGCUAUAUUACUUGGACGCUAGGCUCAGUACGAGUAGCAUCACUUGGCCAACACGCAAACACGUAAUAGGAAAAAGGUCACCAUGGAGUAAAAAAAGAAAGAAAGAUGAUAGAAUGGAUGUCUAAAUUGUAAUCAACUCACCAGUAUCGUCUAGCCAGUAGCGAUGGCAGGAUGGCGUGGUUGCGGGCUUUAGCGACCCCGACAGUACUCGCCCUUUCUAAAGCCCGCUGUCCGUCCGGGUGCGUUCAACAAAAUCGAAACAACAUCUGUGUGAAUUAUUGCAAUAAACAAGAGGAUAAUAAUUCAAAUGAAGCGUGAAAGAAAAGUUCAAGUUGAAGGCUCGAAAUGCAAUAAACAUGAGGAUAGUUGGACCAAAAGUAAUAAUUCAAAUCGAGGAAAUCUAUAAAAUAACCCUUAAAAUACCCUCAAAAAAUAAUAAAUUUAUAAAAAUAAAUUACAUACAAGGAUAAAUCAAAUACAGCAAUCUAGUUGGCGCCAAAAACGUAUUGGGCGGGCGCCCCAUUUCUUCCUCCCCAGUCUCCCUAUCUAUCAAUCGCACGGUACCUAACUCUUACCCUCGGUGCAGAUCCCUCACUUCUCGAGCUAGCCCAAACUCUUGAAUCUCAGGUAAAUUCCUUUUCUGCUCCAUGUUUGCUUUACAAUAAUUUUGAUUAAGCAGUGAAGGAAGGCUAGACCUGAAUUUUCGGUUGAGCUAGAUCUACGAUUUCUGUAGCUCAGGUUGCCGAGCUAGAGCUAUGACCGAUGAGUCGACGACUGGACUGAAUCCGUGUUCGAAUCUCAGGUAAAUUCCUAACUCAUGUUUAUCCAUGCAUUUUAUACCUUAAUUGAUGGAUCCAAGCAUUAUUCUUCUCCAACAGAAAUUCUGUACGUUAAUUCCUAUCCCUUUUUUUUUUCUUUUCUUACAAGAUAUCCUCUGAAUUCCAAGUUUGUGCCUGCAAAUUGCAAGAUGACAGUAUUUUAUAUGAGAAGUUUGUCUUGCUACAGGGCUUUGCAUUCUACUAUUCUAGGCUCUAGGAUAGCAGUGAGGAAAGAACAAUUUCAGGUGAAUUGGAUGAUGUUAACUUCGGUAGUAUGACACUGAAGCAAAUUAAAGAGAGAUGCAAAGCAAAGAAAAGGAAACCUGGAAUGUUCACGGAUGUCAUCGUUCAAAGCUACAACAUCUUCCUGAAAGGCUCCUUUCAAACCGGAAGGUGUGCAUCAUCCAUAGCACGUACAUCUGAUUAUUUUUCUCUUAUAUUACCCUGAAUUUAAUCAGGCAGUGCUUACAUUUUCAGGUAAUUUCUCCAGCAUCUCAGAAAAAACUGUGCAAGGCUAUGGAGUCUAGUGACUUAGAUGAUGAAGAUUAUUACAGUAAGUGAAUAAGAUAUCAUGUUCAGAUUUAUGGACUAUUUUUCUGAGCUGAUAAAAAUAUAUAUAUAAUUAAAAAGUAAUAUAAAUUAUAUUUUAAAACCUCACCUAAAAAUUUAAGUUAUUAAAAUGGUUCUUUAACCCAUAACACACUGAAAAGGCCUUUAAAAACUAAAUAAACUUGUGUUCUCUUGUCUUUUUCCAAGUUCCCUUUUUUUAAUUUGAGAAAUUAAGGUUGAUUAUCUUAAUCACGUAACAGCAUGACUACGAGGUGGAUUUGGAGUUUUUAUUAACUUUCCUCCAAUUCCAUCCAGUCCUGCAUUGCAAUAUUUGCUCUUGCAUCUUGAUGAAGUUCUCUGCCACAAUGCCCAUAUUUCUGAGUUCUGAACUCACUGUAAUUCUUUAUACUUGUGUGACACUUUUCCAUUCACUCAGUGGAUUGCUUCCAUGUCUAGACCAAUAAAUUAUACAGUCACACUCCGCUCUCUCUGUUCUUUUAAUCAGAUUUUUUGCCUUGUCCGUUUUCCAUAAGAGUGGAAGGUGUUUUGGCCAAACUAAGAAUGAUGAUUUUGAGUUCUGACAAACACUUACAGCGCCAACGGUUUAGCCCCCUUUUGGAGGCUGCUCAAGGACUCAACCUUUGUAUUCAACCUAUAAUAUCAGAUAAAACCACACAAUUGACUUGAUAUCAUCUGUGUUUUGUGUCCUUGCAGUCCUGGCACAUCUUUGUUAGCAUGUGAAAUUGAUUAUAGUUUGGUAAAACCGAUUUCUUUUCACUAUCAUUGCAAGCUCAAAUUUUUAUGGUAAAAUACAAACUGUGUGGAGUGUUAUUAACAACGAUGUUUUCUUACAUGUUUUUGGUUGCUUUUCUUUGCGUUCGGCUUUAUGGCUGCAGGUAUGUACAGUAUGCUAUAGCGUAAAUUCUAUUGAUUUGGCAGGUGAAUUCAAAAUGCAACUAGAGUGGAAGAAAUUAAGUGCAAGAAGAUGGCUUUCCAUCCUGGCAAGGGAUUGCAACCGAUUUUGUAAAAUCAUGGUUUGUUUCUUGUCAUACAAUUGCUUCAGUGCAUGCGUUUGAAAAACUUACACCAGUCAUAUACUUAAUUAUGACGUGAGAUAUUUGCUGAUGUUUUAUUUGAUUGAUCUCAGAAAUUGACCGACAAAGCUUCUGCAACUUUUCUGGGAAUGCUGUCCACAAGGAGAAGAGAAAGAUAGUUUUUGCUGACGAGGCUGGCGGAAAGCUUUGUGAUGUCAAGACUUUCGAGAAUGACAGGGCUUCUUUUACAGGGUCUAGUAGUGACAAACAGGUAAAUUUCGAUUAAAUAAAGGAUGAAGCUUUUAUCCAUUGUACAUUAAAUCUUUCCAUUUUCUUUUCACUUUUCGAGAGUGAUUCUUUUAGAUAUUUGAGUGGCUAUUUGAUGCUUUCUAGAACGGAAAAAUGAAUGUAUAGAAUAGUUUUGGCACGUCUAAAUCUAGGGUAAGGUGUCUAAGAUCAGGAGUGAAGCUACCAUAACACAGAUGAAUUCAGCUAGAAAGCAGACUGGUGCUCACUUCAAAGCUAGUUUACUGAUCACUGAGAGCUAGAGAAUAGGAUUAACUUUGUUUAUACUUUUCUUGCCUCUUUCCUUGAGAUUGAAGCAUGUUGUAACAACAAUCAUGUGUUCUUGUCCCAAGCCAAUGAACAAAUGUUUAUUUGUGCUUGGAAUUUCCAAUGAUGUCAGCUUUAUGUCAAGACGAAAGAGAAUCCCAGUUUUCGGCCUACAUGUUCUCUUUUAAUUAUUCAUUAAAAGAUGGUUUGCUGGUUCUCAUCCCUCCUACCAUGGUUAGAAUUAAUCCUCUCUUUUUUUUUUUUUGCCAUUAAUUAUUAUCGCCUAGCAAUUGAUCUCGUCAACUCUCUGUGCAUCGCAUCAACAUUUUAUACAUCAAGUAAAUAAUCAACCACAAUAAAAUAUUUUUGGUGGGUUGUAGAUUGCAUAACCAAUCAACCAAAAAAUUUUCUAACAAGAUAUCUUAAUAUUAAUAUACAAAAGAUUUUUAUUUUCUUAUCACACGCAAGAAUAUUUUUAAAAUCCUUUUAUGUCUGCUUAUAUUUUUUUAGGUUUUUGUCCAGGAUAUUUUAAGGUUUAUUAGGCUCGAGACUAAUUACCUUUCGGCUGGAAGCGUGAAGUUGAAAGCUUUCUUAACAAGUAUAUUUUCAGGAAAUCAAACUUGUAUUCUUAUCUUUUUCUUUUCAAGGUAGAGGCUGCUUUUACCACCUUAAAAAGACAUCAUUUAUUAUACAUCCUAAAUGUAAGAAAUUAUAAUAAUAAGAAAGAUGGUAGCAUGAUUUCAUAUAGGAAAAAGUAGCAUAAUUCAUAGAGAGGAGGAGCAUAUAAACAGUUAAUUUGCGAAGUGCGUUCAUUAUUGUAACUUCAUUUCUCACGCUCGCUAUCAAGUGGGAAAAAGAAAUCAUUUGCAAACAAAUAUAACAUCGAGCUACCUAUUAAUAAUAAUAAUAAAAAAUGUAAUGAAGAAGAGGAUCAUGUUGUCCACCCCUUUCUUCUAUCUUAAUUUCUGAUAGAAGCUCUCUUCUUUACAGGAGAAUCACAGAAAACAAUCUCCCAAACCUCCGAGAAUGCCUGCACGAUAACUCCAUGAUACUGUCUCGAAUUCAAGGACAAAAAACACUGCAAAAGUUCCUCUAAAUCCUCGGCCUCAAAUAUUUGCCUUUCUAAUAUCAUCUCCAACAUAGACCUCUCAAAGUCCCGGUGUGGGUUCGCCACGCUCUCCUCCACUCUCCCAUCAACCUUGCGUGAUAUCAGUACCCGCUUCAAAACGGAUGAUCUCACAGGUGAAGGAAUCUCUGGAGACGUCACAGUCUUUGAUCUUUUCCACUUGUUCAAUGAAACUUGGUGUCCAAGCUUUUUAAUUUUCUUUAGGUUACUGAUCACUUUCUUGUUCCCUAUAGGCUUAUUAACGCUUCAUGAUAUUCUGAUUGCCUGGCUAUAGUAUCCAAUGAAUGGCUGAAUUCACAAGAAUAAUCAUAGGAGAAACUUCUUGAAGAACAAAGUAGGGUUUCAUUUUCUUCACCAGCAACAUCAGUACUGCUAAAGCAUCCACUAGUAUAUAUCAACAGACAAGACACCUGUCUUGACCUUGUUUUUCUUGAUAUUAAUUUCUCCGUUUUUGUUUUUUCCAGUUACCAUAAAGGGUGACAUGUCCCCACUCUCAUCAGAAAAUGAGAAGGGCACGUUUAGGUGAGGUUUGGCUUGCCGCCUGGCUUCUUUCUUGCAUGCAAAAUCGGGCGAUUCAAUGCUCCAAUCUGACAUGCAGCAGCGCGGGCACGAUCGUGAUUGGCAUUUGCAGCGGACGGACAUGGUCUUCCUUGACACUUGGCAUUUGUAAUAAGGUGUUGAUGGUGGUGGUGCUGGGAGGUUACAAGGGUAAUUGAUGUCAAGUGCUUUAGGGUUGAAAGGAGAGAACCUGUGGAUAGCUGGAGUUGGGGCUUCGGGACAAGAGGGAUCUUUGGAUCUACAGAGUUGGAAUGAGGUGAUAACACGAGAGAGCCUGUGCUUGAGACGAUUAGGCAUCUUGUGGAAGUUCAUGACCAUGAGAACGUCUGUACGUAGUUUUGAGACAACGUGCGAAGGCUUAAGCUAUAAGAGGCUGGAUAUAUAUAUAUAUAAUGGAGAGAGGCCGGCAUUCAAGAUGAAAGACAACAGCUUGCACCCACUGGGUUUCAAAAGUAUUAAUUUAAAGGAUCUGCACGCCUGGUUAGAAUGACCACAUCCAAGUGAUGAUGUACGGUCAUUGCCUGAAAGCUACAAUAUGGAAUUCCAGAGUGACCGUACGUAUCAUUCAAAUAUAUGACAUUUGGGUUAAUUAGUGAGUUGGAUCAGUAAUUCUCAAGCAUAAAAAUGAAGGCUGUGAAUGAUUUUCAUGAUGAUUUCUAUGUUUACGCAAAAUGAGAGAGCACACUCCCAAUACAUUACUUAAUAGUUUUCUUUUUUUAACAGAUGGAACCAUGACUAUAAUAUAGAUCAAUUCCCUAUAUUAAUAAUUUUCAAUACAACCUGCAAGCGAGUUUACUAGCCGGUGGUGUUUGAUUAUUGUUUUACAGUAGAAAAAACAGAGACAUGUUUUGUUGAAAAAACAGAGACAUGGCUGGAAUAAACCACCAUCAUUUUCAGAGAUGCCUCCUAUUAUCUUCCAUGGAUAUUCUCGAAGACAAGAUAGAAAGUUUUAGGAAAUGCCAUUGAGAGAUACGUGAAAGAAGCAGUCGAGACCAUGCUUGUUGCCCAGGGCCAAAAAAUUGUUUAGAAAAUAGUUUCAAGAUGCUUGACAUGUUAACUUUUUGGUAGCAAUAUGUAUUAGGAUCAUGGCUCGUGACUUGGCCUGGCCGUAGCUCUCUCGAGUCUGCAAAUCCUGCUCUUGGUUUCUAUUGUUGAGAUAAUAUUGCGAAGGACAAGGGUUGUAUCCAGCCGUAGUUAUCUUGACUCAUUCCCACUCAGACCCAAACUCGAAAAAAAAAAAACUAGCAGUCAGGUCCCCCAAACAUUUUUCAAUUACUCUUACGUUCUACUUCCCAAGUUUGUGUGUCAUUUUCAGUACUGGAGCCCUUGCUGAGAUGGCAAAAAAAAAAAACCCUACAAUCUACUCGAGGACCUUGCAAUUUGCAGUCACGUACGUAGUUCACCAUCUGAUGAACACCUGGACAAGAAUGCACAAGCUACAAUACAAAAAUAAAAUAAAUAAAACGAAGGAAGUUUCCUGCCUCAGUUCAUGCACACGCGUUUUGGAUCUUUGACCCCAUCACUAAGCAAGAAACCAGGAAAAAUUCUAGCUCAGCAGCAGCAGGUUAACUGUAUUAGCUGGAGUGUGAAGAUGGUUCACAAAAUGUAAGCCAAUUGAACCCAAAUAACAAUUAUAUAUUUUCACCUCUUUUUUAAGAAUAUAUGAACUGCAAAAUAGGCUCAACAGGUGAGCCAAGUUCUAUAGAUAGAUCAAACCAGCUGUCAACCUUCUUCUUCUUCUUGUUUUUUUUUUUUUUGACAAUGAUGGAAAGCUGCGGGUACUUACACUAAAAAAAACCUUAUUCUUGGUGUAGAUCCAAUCGUGAAUCAAAGAUUGAAGCCUGCGGGUACUUAUGAGCCAGAUUUAGUUCGAUCUCUUGAUCUAAAUGUUCACACUAUGGAUAUUGGGAACCCAAUUUUUGGAUUAGAAACUCUUUAUUUUCAUGAAUCCAAUCUGGAUGUGCUCCAGCUUUAUUCGGUCUAAGUGACAAAUCUUUAUUUUAAAAGCUUUGGAGUCUAUCAUCUUAGGAAAAUCAUCCAGAUAAUCUCUUUUAUAUCAAUAUUUAAUGCAUUUUUUGUUAUAUAUAUAAAAAAUGUAUUUUCAUGGUAGUUGUCACAAAAGCGUACUUCGAAAGUUGAAGGAUUGAUUAAGAAACUGAAAAAAAAAUGAUGGAAUUAAGUUCAGUCUAUCAAGUCCCCUCAUUAAAGCUAAAACAAUUAACUAUUAAUGUAUAUAUCUUAUUUAAAAGGUAUUUUAGAGGAUAUCCAAUAUUUUUUAUUUUUUUAUUUUAAAUAAAAUUAUUGCUAUAUUAAAAAUUUAAUAUAACUUUAAAGAAACAAAUAGCGUUGCUAGAUACUUGGCCAAUAUCGAGUGUCGAUAUGAUGACAUAUGAUCGCCAAUUUAGUUUGAGACAGGAGACCGAAGCAAACAGGUCGAGAAUCUAGCAAGAAGUGGGGUUUUGGUUGGCUAAAUGAGAUGGAGGCAAGUUGAAACUAGUCCAAUAGCAAGGUGCCAUCUGCUCCCCAAAUUUAGCAAACAUUGAAGAAACCCCUGAAAUCGUGCACCCACGAUUGCUACGCGCAAGGAACACCCCAGACAGGAAAAGGAAAAAGAAAAGGACGCAGUCUUUCAUCUCCCUGUCGUUGAUUGCCCGGCAUUUCAAUCAAGAUUUAGAUUUCAUUUCCUACUCUCUCUUUCCUGUUGGGUUGUUCUCUUGGAUUCAAUCAAAGUGAAAAGGGUUUUUUCCUGGAAUUCUAUGAGGAAGUUGUGUCCUAAUUAUGACAGGGAACAUGCACUUGACACCGUCUUGGAGGUGCCUAUACCUGAAGAGAUGUUCACAAAAAUGGGCAACAGUUCAGCUUCUCGUUGGCAAAACAUGCGCGCAUUGAUGAGAGCUCAAGCUGCUGCUGAUAAAUCAACCCAUCUCCAAUCUAAAUCAGAUAGUGAAUUUAUAGCAUUGCUUAAGCUUGUUGGCUCUCCUCUUAUCCCUUUUCAGGUGAACCCUGACCAGCCUCUCACCCGUCCUCUUAAAGAUUGUAACAUUGUAUGUAUGACUCUUUCAUUUUCCUCUUCAAGUUUUUCUUCCUUUCUUUUCUUUUUUGGUUAAAUCUGAACAUGGAAAUGGAAGGUACAUAAUUAAGAUACGGAAUUCAUUGCUGGACUUCAUGUACUUUGAGAGAUUAUCUGAAAAUCUUGGUGUGCUAUAAUGGUGAGCAUGCUUCGUUGUUUUGAAAACAUUCCCUGCAAAGGUUAAGGUCCCACGCAGCAUUUUCAAAAUUGAGAAUCAUUGGCAGUUUCAGCAUGUUAUUAACUCACCUAUACGCCUGCUAUGGCCAUAAGGAUAUUGAUCACUUAAUUACAUCACACUUCAUUUCUGAUAAGGAAGAGAAAGGAAACAGUGAAAAGGGAAACAUUAACCCUCAAUAUUUCCAAAACUACAACUUUUCAUUCUACUUUUGAUUGAUUAGCUAGGCUGAUGAGAACGCAGCUCGAUGUCUUCAACUGGACCUGGAAAUGUUACUUGUGAUUAACAAUGCAUGGAUAGUUUGCUAACAGUGACUUGUUUCGUGAACAGGAAGCCUCUACCGCGAAAUACAUAGUACAACAAUAUAUAGCAGCAAUUGGAGGAUCGUUGGCACUGAAUUCAGUGAAAAGCAUGUAUGCAGUAGGGCAGGUGAAGAUGGGUGCAUCAGAAAUGCACCAAGGUGAUGACAGUGUGCACCCAGGAGGAAAGUCCGAGGUUGGAGGGUUUGUGCUAUGGCAAAAGAACCCUGAUUUAUGGUACCUAGAACUAGUUGUUUCGGGUUACAAGGUCAGUGCAGGCAGUGAUGGCAAGGUUGCUUGGAACCAAUCCUCGUCUCAGGCGUCUCAUGCUAAUAGAGGUCCUCCAAGACCCUUGCGGCGGUUCUUCCAGGUAUAACCUUCUCUGAAUGUGUAUCUUCCAGAGACAAAAUAAUCGCUGUAUGUAAUCUAAGACUAUUUAUUCCGUAUCUUUUGGGAAUGUCAAGAUGAUUGAAGAUGGUUUUCUUUGUGAUGCCAAUAGGGAUUGGAUCCAAGGUGCACAGCCAACUUGUUCUUAGAAGCAACAUGCGUUGCAGAGAAGGCAGUGAACAAUGAAGACUGCUUUGUACUCAAGCUCGAGACCGACUCAAACACCCUUAAAGCUCAAAGUUCAUCCAAUACAGAAAUCGUACACCAUACAAUAUGGGGCUACUUCAGCCAAAGAACGGGACUGCUUGUCAAAUUCGAGGACACGAAACUAGUGAAGAUGAAACCGAUUAAAGGAAAUGAUAAUGUGUUUUGGGAGACAAGUAUAGAGUCAGUGAUCGGAGAUUACAGAUACAUUGAAGGCAUCAAUAUAGCACAUAGUGGAAAGACCAUCGCAACACUUUACAGAUAUGGAGCAUCACAUAAUCAUAAGAGGAAAAUAGAGGAAACAUGGAUGAUUGAAGAAGUUGAUUUUAACAUAUGUGGGUUGUCGAUGGAUUGCUUUUUACCCCCUGCUGAUCUUAAGAGAGAACAAGAAGGUGGAGAGCUGUGACCAUAUUACAAUUUGUUUGAGUUACGGGGAACACAAAUGUAACUCAGAGGAAAAUCCCUGUAUAUAUAGGUGAGUUGGAAGCUGAGAAGUUUUCUUAUAAAGGGUAUGAAUGUAGAAGUAUUUUGUUCUUAAAAUAUACAGAACCAUUCAUUGAAAAAAGAAGACGACCCAACAAAUUUAUCUCUGAAACAUAUUUUUUAAUUCCAUCAAAUUAAAGAAACAGGUUAAUUUUCUUGUAAAAUACAUCAAGAAUAAAUUGUUGAAUUUACAUGUUUACACGCGUCUAUUCUACAUCUAACCUGAAUGGAACCAACCCAACAAGUAAUUCGUUCAGAAUGUGAUAAAUAUGAGAUGGUAUUUGGUAAAUAUAAUGAUUUAAGGAAAAGUGGAUGCCUUGUCUUGAAGAAAGAGUUAAGUGAAAGACCAUUGGAUGCGUUUUGCUUGAUUAGGAUCUCAAGUUCGCUACUUCCAUGCAUAACAACAACAACCUCUUCCAAAUAGGGUGCUUGGUUGCAACUUACAGGGGCUUUCAUGUUGCAAAAUUGCUCUAACAAUUAGCUCAGCAAACAAUCUACAUUAAGAGGACGACUUCUUCUUCUUCAUUAGUGGAGCAACUACCUAUUUUGGGUAGCGGUACGCUUCAAUUGCCGACCAAACCCCCCCAAGAGCCCCCACCCAGGGCAGACCCCUUGUCGAGCGAUUAUAACAGAAUCCGGCGUGGGCUUUACCUCCAGCAUUUUAUGAUGCCCAAACCUCCUGAUCUUAAGCGUUGCCAAGAACAACAUCAGCCCAGGGAUCUUACCAAUGACUACAGAGUCAAAAGUAGAACAAACGAUGGAAACAAUUGGGCUUCACUGAUGUUUUUUUCAACCACCUGGACCAUCCUCGUCAGCAUCCCUGGCUACAAAAACUGGCGGGAGCUAGGGACCUGAACAUAAUUAACUAUAUCACCCCCUCCAUGAUUAAAAAGAGGGCACCAAAACAAGUAAAAACACGAUUGAACUCAGAGAAAAUGUAACCGAUUUCCAGCUUUGCACAACCCACCUGGACAUAAAUGCAUACAAAUGACGCCACCAACUUCAGUCAAAAAAUUUCCCACCCACGCCUCUGACGAGGGGUGUAAUAAAUAUAUUACUCUAGGGCUGAAAAUUAAUUUCCCUUCUUCCUGACUUUACAACAUGAACGGACCAAAAACAGGGAACCGACGAAAACAAUGCACCAGUCAAGGCUGCCUUCAUGGUUUAUGAUAAAUCUUCGUUAUUCUCUGACAAAAAAGACAGUAACUCUACCGCAGGAAUUUUAGUCCACAAAAUUGCUUGAGCAGAUCAAAUUGAUACUGCUGCUGUUGAUCUAAGUAGAGAAACUUAAUCCUAAUGUAAAACAUUUACUAACAGUGUAGUCAAAGCGUAUUUACAACUACCAUCCAAAAUCCUAGUCUUCUAGUGUCUGAAUCUCGCCCAUCAUGAUCCGGUUACUGACAACAUUAAAUCCUAAAACAGAAGGGUUGACCUUCUUCCCCUUUUUCCCUUUCUUCUUGCUUCCACCCUUCCCCGACCCAUCUUCACGGUCAUAAUCUUCAACACCCGCAUUGUCAAAAGUCACAUCUUUGGCACUGAUCCCACUGGUCUUCCAAUCAUUCUGCCUUUGAAAGGCUAUUUCAAGAACAUCGGCUCCUAACAUCUCUUUGCAAUUGAGGAAUUUGUCGAUGAACUCGUGAUCAGGAUCAAAUGAUGCAAGAUUUUCUAUCAGAAGCAUCUCCGCCUCUGAUCUGGAUUGCUUCAAGCAGUAUUCCAAGAAACUUGUAUCUAUCACAAGGGAUUCCAUUGCAUGAGAUAAAACUUACAGAUCAACAAAAGGUGUUUAAGUCAACAUGUCAGAUGCAUGAACAGAGUUUUGUAUUGACCCAUGGGUUACAGCCAAAGGAAAGUAGAAAACUAUUUAAAUCUCUGCGAUCCAUGAAAUUUGACCUAUCUGGCAGAGAAGCCAUACUACUAAAGACCAUGGUACUUGUUAUAUGUAUGCUUGAAAGAUCGUAAUCUUUUGAGUGGGAAAAGUAAAGUCUGUAACAAGUAUAUUUAUCGAUCUGCAAUAGAUGCUUGUUACCCAAAUGCUUAAAAUCAACUUGAUGACAAAUCACAAUUCUAGUAAAUAAAUGUCAAGCAAAAGAAGAAAGAACAUAGAAUGGUACCUUUAGUCCCAACAAGUCUAACACAUUCAUUUUCACACCAAGCCCUGAACUCCAUGGCUUCUGAAAAUAAAUAAACAUAACGGGUCAACAACAAUUCUUGACAGGUUAAGAUGAACAGCCUAUUGUCACUUUACCUGAAUGCUUGUUCAUCGUAUCUCGUUUCCCUUUAAGAGACGACUGAGUAGUGGCUGUUGAAGAUGAAAGUGAAUGCUCUGCAGGUCUGCCGCCCACAGAUUUCUGUCUCCCUAGUGAUGCAACUGGUGCUCCUUUUACAGGAGUAUUUUUGGUUCCCCAACUUCCCUGGCUUGAAAUAUGAGGGAAUUCUGACCUGUUUAGAAGAAAGAUAUCAAAAUUUACUUUCAAUUUCUCCCAUCAGGGGCGUUGAUUGAGGAGACAGCAAGGGGUAAUGAUGUAAAGAAAAGCAACAAAUAGACAGAGGCUUACGCAACAAACAACGACAAAAAAAAUCUAACAGUCCUUUGAAUUUUGGCAAAAUAUGCCUAGUUCAAAAGCAAAGUACCAACAAUCACUAAACUUAGUACACCUGUUCAUGUGAAAUUUAUAAAGGACUCUCACAUUUGAACUUUUUAUGUGGACUAAUAAUAAGUUGCAACCCAGCUUAUUUCAGUAAGUCACAAACAUUUCACAACAAAUUCAUUUAACUUUUGAGCCUGAAUCACUGUUCUGACUAAACCCUGCACCACUGGCUUAACUUCCAUGUCUUCACAUGAAUGGUUCCCACAGGAAAGAAAUUCUUUAGGCAACAAAUGGUAGCUCCUGUUACAAAUGCUUAAAAAAUAUUUUCUAUUAGGCAACUAGAAAAGGUCAAAUGCUAUCAUUUUGGAGAAUCACUGGAAUAAUUAUGGGACUCAAAAACAGGGGAGGACAAAAUGGGAAGCGGACAGAAACAACAAGGUAUUCCGUCACUAGUUUAAGCUGGUUGAAGAGGGACCAAUUAAUCAGCAGCCUUGCAAUAUAGCCAUUUUUUUAGGCGAGUAAACAGCAACAAAAAGAAAUGCAGAAUCCCAAACAGGAAAAAUCUACCAAUCAAACAGGUAAAAACAUACUGCAAAAUAUAAUAAACCAGAUCAAAUUUACAUGGCAUCUGCAGAAAACCAGUAUGCUCACAAGAGCAGCUCUAAGAAUAGAAAGAAUGGUUUAACUAAAGAAGCAAUGUUUGAUAAACUAAAAGCUAGUUAGAUAGGCAAAGAAAGGAUCAUACUGCUUAGGCUCCUGCUUAGAUUGAUCAAUCGGGCCCCAAAAUAGUUCAUCAUCUCCUUUGUAUUUUGACUGAGAAGAAGCACGGGAAUUUAUCUGGAUAGGAGAAGCAGCCUUUGAAGGAGAAGAUGCAGAAUGCGACCAUGAAGAGCCACUUCCAUGUGUGGAUUGAGCGGGCUGAGGUUUCUGAGGAAUUGGUAUUUGAUUCUGAGGCUGGGCAGAAGAGACCUUUUUCUCCUGUUCCUUUUGGAUGUCCCUUAGGGAUGUGGGCUUUGGAAGCUUCUUGGAGUCAGCAGACCAUGCUGGAGAAGGAGAAUGGGUUGCUGGCUCUCCCUUCCAAAAAACAAAAUCUCCCAAAGAAGGGCCAGAUGGAAUUGCAGGCAAAACUUCCUUCUCCUGCUGCACAGAGCGAGAGCCUUUCCCUUUCUCAAUGGGACUUGAACUAACAGCCAUUUCAGUAGAAGGUACAGGCACUACCACCUUAGCUCCAGCCCCCUUUGCUUUAGCAGACCUUUUGCGAUUCUUUUUAGUGUCUUUAGCCUCAAUAAAGUUUGCAUCAUCUAUAGAUUCUAAACUGUUAGUUGCAUCUGGUUGAAUAGUCAAGCCAGAUAAAGAUUCAGAAACUCCCAUCUCUCUUUCAUUAGAUUUUGCCAAAACUACUUCUGCCAAUAGAUCAUGUAACUGACUUUUCUUGCUCUUAGAAGAGAGUGAGAUUUCUGCUUUUCCCACAUUUAUGUCAGUAUUACUCAAUUCUCUUUGAAUAUCUCUAGAAAUUUUUGGGUCUGAACUAGCCACAACCCCAGCCCAAGGAGUUGAUGAACUUGCGUGGUUGACAGAAGUGCUAGUCUCAGAAGCUGCCAUGCCAACCUGAGCCUUCCUUUGCUCUUCUUGUUGAAUUUCCAACAAUGACUUCGGUUUGAAACCAGGAGCAGGUUUCCAAGCACGUUGACUUGAUUGAAUCUGUGCACUAAGAACCGGGACAGACCCAGCCAGUUUUGAUUCACCCUCUCCAGAAUUGAUGGCAGGCAAUGAACUAGUAACCUGCUGGGAUUCGACAACUUCUGCAGAAGUCCCAAACUUGUUGUCUCUUGCCUUUUGUGGAGAUGUCCCAGAAAGAUUUUCUCCAGUUCCAUCAUGUGAUUCAAAUCUUGUUAGACCAGCAUUUGGCCCCUCAUUUUCAGAUUGCUUUGAUUGCUGCAAAGACAAAGCCUUUAUUGCUACCUUUGCCUGGUCAGAAGAGGAGUUUGACUUGGCAGAUUUUUGCUUUCUGGAUUUCUUCUCAGAAGCUUUUCUUGUCUCACGAAUUUCAAUGUUUUUCACUACUGUUGCCACUUCAGGCUCAGUAUUCAAUUGAUCUCUAUCAACCUGCUGCUCAUCAAGUGAGCUAUCUAGUUCAACUUUUAGAGCACUGGCAUGUUCGGGCUUUGAAAUUGCAUUCUCACCAGUUCCUGCUGACGCUACUGGAUCCGAGAUUUCAUGAGAAUCCUGAUGAACAGAAUCUGCAGUAGCCUCAGAUACCAAAACCUUUGCACUUUCUUCAGUUCUCCUAGGGACUUCUGGUGUAUGAUCCAGUGAAAGAGGAACACGGAAGUCAGAAGAGGGGACAGGUUCAGAUGCAACAGAAGCCUCAUGUGAAGAUUUGUUCAUCCGCCCUGGCAAGGAUGAGCUAUCAACAAAUGGUGAUGCUGGUAAAGAUUCUUUCGGAUGAAUAUCACCUAGUUUUCCGGGAAUUGCACCCCAGCUUUUUUGAAGAUUAACAUUCCCAAACAUUUGAUGUGGAAGAUGGAGAGAAGAUGCUUCAGAAUUGACAUUAUAAGUGACAUCAUGGGUAACUUGAGGUGGCAAAUUCAAUAAACUGGUAGUGUGUUCAUCUUGAACAUUUGAAACUGGCAACUGUAGACCAGUUGUAAGCAAUUCUUUAGACAGCUGAAGCCGAGAAGGAUCCACAGGAGCAUUUCCUGUAGCUAUUGAAGCAGUCUGUAAUUUUCCAUAAGAUGGCUCAACAAAACGCUGAUGAGAAUGGUGCUCUGGCAUAGCUUGGGAAAGUAACUGUUGUUGCCACAACAACUGUUGAUGCUCCUCCUGUUUUUGCUGCUGCUUGAGUAACAUAAGCUUAUCUAACACUGAAAGCUGCUGUGUUUGAAUAGGAGCCUGGGAAUGUGACUGCAGCAAGUACUGCUGUUGCAACAAGUUGAGUAAUUGUGGAUCCUGGGGUAAAGCUGAGGGCAACAAUUUUUCAGGUGUCAAAAUACCAGACGGGUUAUCUAUACCUUGACCAAGCAGGUUUGUUAAAGGUGGGUUCUGCCGCUGCAGUCUCUGUUGUUGCCCAAAGAGAACUUGUGGUGGAAAAUUCUGAGCAUGGAGCAAGUCAAUCUUAUCCUGAAGUGGAUCCAAGCUCUCCUGGGCAGGGAAAUUUGACCAACCACUAACGCCAUUAUUUAUGCCAGGGACAGGCCUGUCAGAUAGGCCUUGAAGAAUGGACAUCAAAUCAGCAUUUUGAGAAUGAGGAGGCUGAUGUGGAUUGUCAGGCAAAGAGGAUAGGAGUUUUGCAUGUUGCAUCAGGGAGUCUGGGUGAACUUCUGACUUUGAAACUAUGGAUGGAGCAUCUCUUCCCUGCCAAAAUGGAUAAGGACCAGGUAAUGAUCUCUGUCGUUCAAGUGCCAUUUUCUUUGCCAUCAGGUGUAGAUCGUUCCCACCAUCAACUCCCAAUGAUGGCACACCACCAGAACUAUUUCCAGUAAAUCCUUGAGAACCUAAAGAGAAAACAUAUCCAUCAAGUUCGCAUAAAGAUGCAACAAGAUGAAAACUACAUUUAAAAACCAAGGGGAAAUGCCCAAAGCAUAGGGCUGCUCAAUAAAACAGAGUUCAUUUGUUAAAAAUGAAAAUAAGCUGGGGGUAACCGAACCUUGUGAUGAAGGACCCAAGUUUCCAGCCAUCAGUGACUCUAAGAAUCGGUUUUCAGCUUCUGUUGCUGAACCAGGUUUAGACCUUGGAUCGUUUCUUAUAAUAUCAAACUCCUUUAAGCUAGGAUGCAUGUUUCCAAAGCUGCUAAUGUUUGGCCUGCUAGAUGUGUCAGUGAAUUCAUUCUGUUUUGUCCCAGCAAACCCAGGUGGUGGCCUUGCCUUGGCUCGCAAAUGAGGCAUGACAUCACCAAGCAACAAAAAGGGUGAGUCCUGUGAUGCAUUUGCCAGCCGAACUUGCAAAUCUAUGCCAAAAUAUCCAGUCUCGAACCACCCAAUGAUAUCACUGCCAGAAAAGGGACCUUGAAUUUCACCCUGGGGAUCCUUAUAAUACAGAACCAGGUUCUCAGGAGAGGGUUGUGAAAACUUCUUGACCUCUUGCUCCCUGUCCAGAGCAGCAGAUGGCAGCCUUUUCAUAAUGGGAUCCUCAUUGGUCUGCCAUUUUGCUUCGUCUCUAGAGAAUGAUGGAUUGGCCACAUUGCUUUCCCAUGGAUUUUCAGAAUCUUUUGGGGGUUGAUUCCGGGCCAUAUCAGCAGCCCUUGACCUGACAUCACUGGAAGCAUCUCUCCAGUCAUGCGAGACCGUAUUGAACUGCUCUACCAAUGAUGGGGCUCGCCAUGGAGUUCCAGAAUGCGCAGAAGUAUUUCCCUCCACAGUCAAUUCCCUACUUCUAGGCACCUCAUCAUCCUUUUUGUAAGGACUGGUUUCUCUAAAAGCUGCAUAUGGAGAAUAAUAAUUAUUAUAAUGCACCAGGACUAUGGGCACUUUAAAUGGAGCACACUCUCAUACAGUAACAUACCAAAGUUUUACAGACUGGACUAGGAGUAAAAGGGGGCAGACAGUAAAAGCACAGAUGAAAAUUAUCUAAACCAAAAACCUAAUUAUAACAAGCAACAAACCACAAAUUUUUAAUUUGAGUUCAAGAUAAUUAUUUUUCUAGUCUUGUUAAGUUUGAAGAAAAAGGGCCACCUUCAUAGCUCAUUGAAUGAUUUCAAAGGCAGCCAGCUCAGCUUAAUAAACACAUGCACAAAUCACUUUUGUGUCAGUUACCUUCAACUUUGAACUUGUCAUCAGAAUACAUCUUAGGUUCCUGCAUCAUUUCCAAUUUUGAGCUCGACCCAUGAUAUUGUGUCUGUCUUUCAUGAGACAAUCCAUCAGAAUAUGUUCCAUGACCGCCCGUCAAAAUGUCGAGGCUUUCAUCUUUACCAUUAUCAAAAGAGUGUGGCACAUCUUCCUUACCACCUGCAAAGACAUGACAAUCCAAACAGAAUUAUUUCCUUGCUCUGGAAUAUGUGCAAGUACAAUGGAAUAACACAGCUUUGAAAAAUAAAGUACCAGGCUUGGCUCUCGUUGGUUGUGUAGAAUCAAUUGAGUUCCGACCAAGAGAUCCUUCUUUUGAUAUCUGAGGUGCACCGCUGCUUACUAUGUCCCCUUUGUCAAUUCCUUUCAAAACUACCUACUCAGGCAAUAAGAAAUCAAAUAAAUAUAAAGCAAUGCUAGUAUCCACCCAGAUAAUCAAUAUGUAAAAAUUUACCAAUUCCUCAGGAUUGGGUGCACAAAAUGCCAGUGGCUCUGAGGGCUCUUCCAGUGUAAGCAAAGGCACUUGCACAAACCCGUUUAGUAGUUGGCGUGAUUUCAUGUCAGUCAUCCUGUAUACAUCUACCAAUUUAGUCCUGCUAUAGCUUAACUGACCACUUUCUCCUUUGUCUGAAAUACCUCCCGAAUAUUGAGAAUUAGUAGAAAUGCUGUUCGUGGAGAUUCCACCAGAGCUAAGCCUUCCACGACCAAGGGGAUAUGUUGGAGUACUUUCCCCACGUCCUCGACCAUACGAAAAUGUUGGAACCUGCUUGCUUGGUGUUAAAGAUUGGUGAUGAGGUGGCUCUCCCCUCCCUCGACCUUGGGAGGAGUUAGAUCUCCAUGGACGAUAAUGAUCAACCUCCCGUUCAUCUUUUCCAUGGGCAGAAUGAUGAGACAGCCCCUUUUCAAAUGGUGUGUCACCAUCUCUGCCAGAGUCUGACCACUUCUCAUGCGAACCUUCUGUAUCUUUGUUGUCCGGCCCCCAGCGCGUGUUCCAUUUGCUCUCACGCCGCUGAUCAUAAUUAGUUUCCCUGUUACUUGAAUCAGUCCAGCGCUCGGAAGGGGCACGGCGUGCUUCAUAGUGUUUGGUGGAUGAAUUCUCUGUCCAGCGGUCCAUCCGCCGGCUAUCGCCAAGCUCUUUAUCUCCAUCUCUCCAGCGAUCUUUACGCAUGGUGGAAUUAGUGUCUCUUUCUUCAUCACGCCAACGAUCACGACGACCAGUUUCCAUAUCAAGCAAGGAAGGCCGAAAAACAUCCUUUUUCUUCUGGUCAUGCAUCUCCUCGGUGUUUCCUGAUGACUUCAUGCUAUCUGAGCGAUUGCCAUAAGCUGAAAGCGGGCUGCUUUCCUGUAUACCCCAUCAACAGCACAAAAAGAAGAGGAUUAAAUUGCAGGCUAAAGUAAUCACAUCAAAGAGUUUACAUGGAUUGCAUGGUGACAGCAAGAGGGUAGAUUCAUCUAAGGUAUAUAAUGUAAAAACCCAAAAUUUGUCCAUGAAAAAGCAAGUUCUGAUGGUAAAAGAUCAUUAAUACAGUAAAAAGGUUGUGAUAUCAGACCCCUGUUCCCACUCCAGGUUUACUCUCGCCUGGUUUUGGCAGAAGCCACUGCGGUGACAGCGGAAUAGGAUUGUCAGAACCUUGAGCAUCUGCAUGUAAUAAACAGAAGGAAUCAACAAAAAAAACUUUCCACGCGUUUUCAAAACAAUAAUUAAAAUAGUAUGCUCAGCUAUUCCGUUGAAUGACUGGAAUUAAUUGAUGUGAACUCCAUUGAUUUAGCCAAAGCAACAUAGUUACUGAGAAACUGGCAAUGGUGCCCCCGUUGCUUCUUUGGAUCAAACAACAUUCAACUUCCAUUCAGCAGAUGAUUACAAAUCUUAUCCCAUGAAACUUGUUACUUAAUCCAAAGACACCUUCAAACUUAAAAAAUCAGAGCAUUCCAUGGGAGACAAUUGGAAUAGAAAUAGCAAAAAGAGAGCUUAACAACAACCAACUAGACAAAAAAUUGAAAGAUUCUUGUUUCUUCAUUUGUAUAUGAGAGCACGACAUAGCUCCACUUAGAGCUCCUGUCAUCAGAUUGUAAUCGAUUUUGGCCCAAAGGUGAAAGCUAAACUGUCACUCUCUAGAGUAAGAGUUCCUGCAGCUAGACCUAUUUGCCAUAAAUUCUAAUGGAUGACCUAACACAAGUAGCUUCUGACAAUUAGGCGAAAUAUCACAAAAACAGAAAUUUAAUAGCAUGUAUUAAUCAACAGGUCCCAAUGUAUAAACAGAACAAAUGUAAUCCAAAUCAUGCAAAUUUAAUAAAGUCCAUUUCUGGUUCAAAUUACAUUUUACUGGCUUUUAUCCGCAAGGAAAGUGAAAAAAAUCAAGUCUUCUGAUGCAAACCCUAACAUGUAGAACAAAACAAACAAUAGCAAGGGGUUGAAAGCAAAAAAAUUAAAGCAGAGGAAAACACCACAAACAAAAUUAUAUUAUCAUUCAAAAAUAUUAAAAAAUUCCAAAAAUGAUUAUCACUCCAGUUUAUCCUCUAGAAAACCCAAAUGGAAAAAAAUAAUUAAAAAAUACUAAGCUAAAGACAGAAAAUUUAACAAAUUCACUGCACUUUCACCCUUUCCCAACGUAAUCCAAAAUUAAACAGAAACCCAAUAAUAUUAUCGCAUUUGCAAAAAUAAACACAAAACCCUAAAAAAAAUAAAGAGCAAACACCGACAUUCAGUCAAAGAAAGCCACAAAACCCACAAAUAAAUACAGGUUCAAAUGAAGAAAAGGAAAAGAUAGGGUUCUGUUUUUCUCCCAAAAGAAAAGGCCAAAUUAAACUAGAAGAAACUGAAAGAGGUUUAAGAGGAGCGAGAGAGAGAAAUCGUUAACACCUUUGGAGAUCUGGAAAGGAGGCGUUAGGGAGAGGCCGUGACGGGAAUCGGAGACGGAAUUAUUAGCCAUGGAUGAUCGGUGACCGAAACACAAGCAGAGCGUCGAGAGAGAGAUAUUUGGAUGCUGCUUUUGAUUUGUUUGAGCGAGGUGAGAAAAUGGGGGCAAAGAAGGGAGAAGAGGGAAUAUAAAAAGGGUAGGUUAAAAUGAUAUCCCAACCCGGCGUACGUUAGCAAAAGGCUAGUUACAUAUUUGGUUGUCCGAUUUUUUUUGCUUAAACCUUUUUAAUUAUGCUCACGCGCUCUCUUUUCUUCUUGCUUAAAAAAACGGAUGGUAGAAUCCAAAUUUGAUUUUUGGUUGAUGCUAGAGAUUUGACAAAAUCUAGUGCUUGUUUUGGGAUGGUAGUUUCUGUUUUUUAAUGUUUUUUAAAAUUAAUUUUUAUUUAAAUAUAUAUUAAAAUAAUUUUUUAUUUUUAAUAUUAGUACAUAAAACUAUUUAAAAUUACUAUAAAAAUAUUAAUUUAAUAUUUUUUAAAAUCAAAUAUAUUUUUAAAACGCAUUCAAACACACUGUCAUGAUGCAAAACAGUAAUAAGCCAAAAUGGAAAAAAUUAAUAAAAUACACAUCAUCCAAUAAAAGACUUUCUUUUGAGAUAGAUUUACUUGCGUGUUUUGCACGUGAGAUAUGGUGACGUGGUAGAGGGGUAAUCGCGAGGUUUAUCUUCAUUUCCCUCGCUGAGGGUGCGUAAUGAACCCACGAGACGCGCAAGUUACGGCGACUCUACCAAAACGACAUUAUAGAAUGCGUGUCGAAGACAGAGAGGAGCAGAUAACCCUAGCAGACCAGUAGACAUCAUAGUGUGCGCUGCCAGGCUUAGCUUAGGUUUAACUUGUGUACCGUUUUUUUUCUGUUUCCCUGUCUCAAAAGAAACAAAAAAGUCGAAAACCUCAAAAAAUGGCCUUCUUCUUGCUUCGCACCCUUUUUGUCUGCAACUAUGUCUAUCAUCACCGACAUCCAUGGCUAACGACAGCCCCAAAGCUAGUUUUCAGUCUCCAAUAUUCCCAGCCGCUGAUGUUCCUUCAGUUUGUAGAUUUGAUCGCAAGUGCAAAAGAUGAAUGAUGAUCGGUUCUCUUGUAAAGAAAAGAAAAGAAAAACUGGGUAUAAUUUGAAGUUAGGAUGGGUGCAAGAAUCGGUAACUGGAUCCAGCUAAAAGGCGGAGUUGCUGGCGGAGAGGGCUGAGAUUGGAUGGUCUAGUGGCAGUCUAGAGCUCCUGAUCAGGGAUCGUGGACACUCUGCUUUGUGGGGGUGUUUUUGUUUGAGCCUGUUGUUGAAUUUUAGGCCACAGGCCAUUGCUUUAUUCCUGUCCUGUGGGAUUUUUUAAAAAAAUGAAGAAGAAAAGGCGAGGAUGGGAUGUUGGAACUCAUGAGUCAAGGCAGAGAAGAUCAUGAUUCUUGAAUUUGAUUUGAUAAAAGUUUAGCGUUGUGACUGGACCAUGUCAUGAGGGAUGGAUCCAGACUCGAGUAUACAUCACAACAGUCCAAGUGUAAUCCAAACCUUGCUCCUCUUUCUCUGGAUUUCACAGGUGGGUUCAAGAACAAUUCAAUUGCCUUUCAAGCCCUUCAAAAACGUAGUAGCUGGACCUGGUAAGUGUCAUUGUAUCGGCAAUAAACAAUAAUGUGGCACCGCAAGCUCCAACGCAAGAAUGAGGUUCCCUGGAGCAGCGGGAUUGUGUUGCCUCUUUGGAAUCGCUUCUCAACGUGCUUUUCUAUAUAUAAAAAGGAGGUUGAGAAGCAAUCCCAGAAGGGGCCUUGGUUCGAUAGAAUGAUAGCCUCGACAGUCAUGCGAGAACCUGCAAGUCCAACUGCAGGUAUUCGUUGUAGCCUUGUUGUGUUGGAAAGGAGGAGUCUCUUAACUUUAGGAAAAUUUCAGAAAAUAUGCCAUCUUUUUAGAAGUUGUGUUACAGAGUUAUAUCCGAGUUACAUGAGUUGGAGGAUAUUCCUAAAGUAAUAUGUUUCUGCUGCCAGUUAAAUACUAUAAUAUUCCCACGUUAUCUCUAGAUAUUUUGUUAGAAUGUUGCCGUGCUGAAAUUAAAGCCCUUAGAGGAUCUUCAAUGGGAAAUGCAAUUUUGAACAUCCAAAUGAAAAAAAUAGUUUUUUGAAUAUUGUAAAUAUAACUUUUUAUAUUAUGUACAUUCCAAUGAUAAAAAAUUAUUUAGAAAAGUCAUUUAUAUUUUAAUAUAUUUCAUGUUAAAUUAAUUUUAAUAUAAUUAUAUAACUAAUUUAGAUAUUUUAUAUAUAAUAUAAUUAUGAUGUUAUUAAUUAUAUAAUUAAUAUGAGUAAUUUAUAAAAGUAAUAACAAUAUAUUUAAAAUAAAAAUAAAUUUCUAAAUAUUUAAUUAAAAAUACAUUACAUUAAACAAUAAAUAAAUCUAGUUAAUUAAAAAUACAUUACAUUACAAUAAAUCAAUCAAAGUUAAUUAAAAAUCAAAACCCCUCUUUUGCAUAAUUUCUAACUUUCUAUUUUGAAAAUACGUUGCAGAAAUUGGAUCCAGAUUAGAAAUACUCAUUUUCAUAAUUUCUUCUUAUUGUUUCUCUUGACUUUGUUGAAUCAGCAUGGCUUGUUGCUCUAACAUAAUUUUUCUGUCUUGUUUCUUCUGAUCCUCAAUUUCAACUAGAGUAUCCCUGAAUUGUUGUAACAGAUUCGUUACAGUUGCAUCCCCAACUUUAUCUUUUCCUUGUCUACGUUUAAGUCGUUCCUUUGCAGCCUUCUGACCGAUUGGUCUAUCUUGAUAAAUCAAUGGUUCACUAUCUUCUCCUAAACUAACAGAAUCAGGGGUAGAUGGAGUUGAUGAAGCCGGACUUGCAUUAUAAUGACCUUUUUGUUUCUUGUUUGACCUUUGAUGUUGACUUGCACGCUCAAAUUGCCAUUUGGGUUCUUUUCUUAAGAUAACCCAACAAUGUUCUAGUUGAAAUCGUUUGCCAACGCAAGAAGCAUACAUUUGCCGAGCAUCAUUAAUCUGGUAAAAAAAUAAAUUAAUUAAAUAAUGUUAAAAUAUAUGUUAAACAAUUCAACAUAGAAAUGAAUGUUAACAUUACCCUUGAUUCUUCAGUCAUUCCACUUUGCUGACGAUUUUCAAUUUGAGUAACAAAUCCAACAAAUUUACCGACUUCUCUAUUUAUUUCUUGCCAUCUACUUGAGAUGCUUAUUUGUGAACGAUUAUUCAAGUUUCCUCCAUUCUCUACAAAGUAAGCAUGUACGCGAGCCCAUAACUGUUUUGUUUGUUGAUCAACUCCUGUAAUUGGAUCCUUGCUUGUAUUUAGCCAUGCAGAGACAAGUAAACAAUCCUCCUCUGGUGAGAAAUUUUUACUUCUUUGUGAUUUUUUUCCGAAUGGACAUUUAAAUUCGAGCAUGUUAAGUCAUCAAUUAAUUGAUUAGAAUCACUUGGUUGAGAGAGAAUAUCUUCUGACUCACUCAUAAGAAGAUUGGUAAAAGAGCUUGGAAAAUUUGAAUCCAUCUACAUUAAAAAAAAAAAACUCAAGUUAAAACCUUAAGAAAGUGUAAAAGAAGCUCACAUUCAAUGUUUAACAAUUUUGUAGUUUUCAUACAUGCGAAUUAAUAAUAAGCAUUGCCUUCUACAACAUAAAUAAAAAUUGUCUUCCUUAACCCAUAUUAAAAACAUAAAAUAAUAAAGAAAUAAAACUCAUCACAAAUAUUAAAUUAACAACAAAAGUUCUAAAAAAUCAAGAGAUAUUAAAACGAAAAUAGAAAAAGCUUUUAAACAAGCAUACCUUUUAAUUUCAGCUAAUUAACACAACCGAUGUUAAUAAUUAAUCGGAGAAUAAUCGAUUCUUGUUUUUUAAAAUUUGAGAGAAGGGUGAGGCACAAUACAAAAAUUUAAAACUACAAGUUUUUUCUUCAUGUAUUUAUAGAUAAAAUUUUCUAUGUUUAAAAAAAAAAAAAAAAAAAGAAGUUGUUGGCCAACGGCUAUAAAAAUAGUCGUUGGCCAUUUUGGCCAUUUCUACAGUUAAAUGUAGAAAUAGCUCUUCACAAAGCAAAAAGCCAUUUUGGCUAUUGCUUUACAUGUCCCGUUGGAGUGCUGAAAAUAGAAAAAUAGAAGGCAUAGUACAUAUGGCUCUUCACGGAGCUGCCCUUAAAGAGCAUCUCCAACCGGAGAGGCAAAUGAAAAGACAAAAUUAAAAAAGUGUUUUUUUAACUUUUGUUUCUCUAAUUAGGCAUUCCAAUGCAGCAGCCAACAAAGAAGCCAAAAUGACAAUUUAACUUGAGAGGAGCUAUUUCUACAUGUUCCUGUAGAAAUAGCAAAAAAAAAAUAAGUAUUUUUACCAUUGGAAUGCAUAUAAUCAAAAAAGCUAUAUUUAUACUAUUUAAAAAGCCAUUUUAUCAAUUUAGCUUCUCAAUUUAGCUUUUUGCAUUGAAGAUGCUCUAACGGCUAUCCAUCUUUUGCACUGAGACCUCACUCUGUAACUCCAAUUUUCUCACUUUGUAACUUCAUUUUUUUCAAUUUUUAGGUGAGAUGAUUUUUUUUAUAUAUAUAAUAUUAAAGUUUUAAGAUUAAAUAGUGACAAGUAUUCUUAUUUUUUUCUUCUAGUUUAUAAUAUAAUGUAAUGUGAACACACUUAGAAAGAUAUCAAAUGAUUAUGAAUUCAAAUCUCAUCACCUUUAAUUUAAUUAAUAAAAAUUAAACAUGAUAUAGUAUAAGCCAAUAUAAAUUGUAAACUCAAAUAAAUUUUAUUUGUGAGGGUGUAUUAGUGAACAAUAUAAAUUAUAUCUUGAGAUAUCAUUUAAUAAUUUAAGCUUUUAUGUUUAUAAAGUUCUUUGAUAUGAUGUUAGGGUCUUGAUUACCAAAUAAUUAUAAAUUCAAAUCUUACCAUUCUCAAUCUCUUUUUUAAUUAAUAAUACAAGGUAAUAUAAACAUAUUUCAAGUCUGAAAAACUUUCAAUUGAGAAGAUAUAUAGGAUCGAGGGUAAUAUAAAUUAAUAUAAAAAACAUAAUAUAAAAAAGCAUAAAAAAGGAAUCUAAUGAAACAAAAUAAUCUUGUAAAUAGGAACACAAAUCCUUUUUUUUUAUUCGAGGAAACCUUACCCUCCGGAAAACGCCCUUUGUGGGCCUAGGUGAGCGAGUAAAACCUCGAUUGUCUUAGACUCUUACAAAAGGUACACGCCCUGACUCGAACUCGAGACCUGCUGUGCAGAUCUCCAGUCCUUUGUUAUCACGCUACAUCCCUUGGGGACUAAACACAAAUCAUUCCAGAUGAAAAAACUAAAUAACUUCAAAUCUAAAAAAUAAAGAAACAUUUGAUAAUUUUUUAAUUUUAAAAUUAGUUGAUUAAGCCUCCAACUCAAGAACAUUUAUCUGAAAUUUACAAUUUACGUGAAAUUUACGUGGACCUGAUUUAAAAUUCCUGGAACCUAUCACAAAGAAGUAUAAAAUCCUUAGAUUAAAAUAAAUAAAUUAUGCACUUUUAAAUUAAUAAACAAAAAUUGUUCAUUUAAUGAUAAAUUGUUACACCAUUUAUCUGAAAUUUACAAUUAUUUUUUAACAUGAUUUUAACCAAUAAUAUUUUAAUCUUACAAAAUAAAAUAUUUAUUUGAUUAUAUUAAAUGAACUUGUUUAUUUAAAUCAAUAACAAAUAAUAAAAUUAAAAAUAAAUGAAAUUGAUUGAAUAAACCCAUGUUGUAAAAAAAAUAUUAUAUAAGGCUGAAUAUAUCAAGACUAUUAUUUUAAAAUAAAUAUUUUUAUUUUAAAAAAUAAAAUUUAUCUGUAUAAAAAAAAAACAAGAUGCAUGAAUUUGCUUUAUAACUUGAGUAGCGAAUGACUGUAUCAAGAAAUUAAAAGACACAUUAAGACCAAUAAAUACUGAAAGGUAAGUUGCAAAAGUAAGAUCAGGAAAUAUCAUACCAUAUUUUAAAAGAUAUGGGAAAAAUAUUAUAUAGUUAUUGUAGAUAUAAACUUAUUGUAUUGUAAAUCACACUAUGAUUAUGAAAAACAUUAUUAAGUUGCCUUACGAGAAUCCACCUAAAAAUCAAGAAUGAAUUAAGGAUCGUAGGCGUGGUUAUCUUUGUAGACAUAAAUGAGUAAAUGGUUAAAAACAUGAACAUAGAUGUAAUACCUGUUGUGCAAUGUUAUGGGUUAACAGUAAGACACUAAGUUACCGUCAUACAAAAUAAUUUGGCAAGCUACCUAUAAGAGUCGUUGAGGAGGUCACGAGUGUGCAAUGUAUGUACACGUGGCUGUAGAAAUACAUAGUUAAUAAGGAAACUAGAAAAGAGAUGAAUUUAGGGAAUGAAGGGAUCUAACACGCACUAAUGAUGAGACGUAAAUGAACGUUGAUUCAGGAGUUAAUAUUUAAUAUUACGAGUGUCUGUGCACAAAAGUUGAGUAACUAUCGACACAGAGAGUUACUUGGUGGGCUCUAAAUACGAUUAUGAUGUGAAAAUAUGAUGGUAUGAACAAGUAGUUAAGUAUGAAAUUAUAGGAACCAUAAGUAUUUCUAUAUUGAAACACUAAAUAACUAAGAUAAAUCAUAGUUGUUAAACUGUAAGAAGUGCAACAUGAAAUUGAAAAACUACGAAUGACAAGAAUUACAUGUUAAUCGUAAUAGACUUGAAUGAUGGAUCCUGAAAGUAUUCAAUACAUUAGUUAGUUACAAUACCAAAUACUAACAAGUAAAUAGAUAUUUAGUUUAUAAUAUGACAAGUUAAAGUUACGAAAUUGAGACUAGGUCAUCUGAAUGGUGGAUGACUCGGGUGGUUGGCAAAAUACUUCACUAGUUGGGUGGAUGAUAUUUAAGAUAAUUGACAUGUUAUUUAUACUUUUAUUUGAGAAGGAGAUGUUAUUGACAGUGUGACUAACAAGAACAAUCAUUGGAUAAGAUAAAUGUGACAUUUGAGGUGUAGUUAUGUUAUAAAUUUGAGAAGUAAUUCUAGGAAUACUGCAUAACCAUGAGAAAUAAAGUGUUGUGUAAAAGAAAAAAAAAUGUGUUCAGUGGGAGCAUGACAUGCUUCAACAACGGGAAAAUAAGGUGAAAUGGUUCCCUCGAGACAAACACAAGAGUUGGGCUAAUAGCUUAUUGAAUUUAGUUGUCUAUACUUUUAUAUAGAAUCCAAGACGUGUUUUUUCUAUCCAUGUUACAGAAAGGAAAAAUGAAAAAGAGAAAGAAGUACCCAAUAAUAUUCGCAAAUAUAAGUAGAAAUUCUAAAUUUCGAGGACGAAAUUUCUUGAAGGAGGGAAGAAUGUGAAACCCUAGAAAAUUUAUGAUUUAAAUAUACGGAUGUAUAACCUGCCAUGUAAAUGUAAGACCGAAAGUGAUAUAUAAUGGAGGGGAUGACCUCCAUAAAAUGAAUUUUGUUUUAGAAUUCAUAAAGACAGAGAAACUGGUAACGUGUUUUGAUGAAUAAAAUAAUGAGAGAAAUGACAAAAUGAAUAUAUUUCAAAAUAAUAAAAUGACCUUAAAGGUUUAGAAGGAUAAUUGAUAUUAUUUUAUGUGAAGAUUGAACAAGAACAUUUGGAUAGUUGACGAAAAGUCAUAAACUGACAAAUUUUACAUUAGAAAGCAGAGCUCUCAACCCAAUCGUCAGAUUAUGAUGAAAUUUUGCAUGAAUUCUAUUUAUAUGUUUUCCUACGUUGGUGAAAGAUAUCAUCCCAAUGGGAGUUUGGUAAAAACUAACGAUUUAAGCAUAAACAAACCGGAUGAUUUACAUGAAAAAGAAAAAAUAUAUAUAUAAAUACAUAAAUGAGGGACAUAAAUGUAAUUAGAAAAAAAUGGUGCCUUUAAAAACAGCAAAAGGCCACCAGAUUAAAUAAAAAAAAACAAAAAACAAAAAGGGGUGAGAGACAAUAGAGAAUUCGGUUACAGAGAGGUGCAGGAUUUGGAUGAACCAACAAUGCUUCGGUGGCCAUAUAUCAGGAAUCCACCGUUGGAUGAUGUUGCUUUUUGGAUAUGUUGUUCGUCUCACACUCCUCUAUUAACUGACCGAAGGGAUUUGAAGGAACAUAAUCCAUUGAACAGAAACCAUCAUCGGAAGUGUCCUGGAAAACAAAAGGAAAUAUACCUGCAGGGUAGUUUUGGUCGCCGGCCGAUUUCUCUCUCUUCCACCGUUGGAUCGUGCCUAUUUUUGGAUAUGUGGUGCGCCUAGAUGUGACCUUCAUUCUGGACGGUGGAGAUCGGAAACGCACUCUCCGGCAAGGUUUUGUUCAUGUUGAACAGUAGCUCGUCCAUUUUCAGGUUAGUUCGGUUUUAUUCAGAUCUAUGGAGAUCCAACCGUUGGAUUAUUCUUAUUUUUAGAUAUAUUGUAAACAACACAAUGAUAUGUAUUCUGACCGUUGGGUUGAAGGAAAUAAGCAAAGGUGGAUGAGUUGUUGCUAUUUGAAUCUAUUGCUAGUCUUAGUAAAACAUUUAGGAAGCUUGAUUUAAUUACAUGUUUUGAUGAAAUUAGAAUUGUGUGGGUGUAGAGUUUAUGUAAGAUGUAAUGGUAAAAUGUGUUCUUGUUAUUAGUGUUGUUAUAGAUUAAUUGUGUUGUAAAAUGUGUUAGGGAAGUUUUGAAAUUUGGAUGAAGGGACAUUGAGUUUGUUGAUUUAAUGGAUAUAUGUUUUUAGGCAUUAAAAAGGAUUGGGUCUAGUGGUAAUUGAAAGAAAACUUGAAGAAAACUUUAUCCUCUAUUUAAUGCAAAGAUUCGGCCUACACAUAUAAAUGAGAGGAUUAAUUGUUUUAAUUGCUAUGGAAUUUGAGUUGAAUGGGGUUAGAAUAGAUAUGAAAUGAAUUGGUAAAUGUUUAUCUUGAAUAAUUAAAAAGGGAAUCAUCCCUCAUCAUGAAUAAAAGCAUUCGGCCAAAUGAAGAAGAAAUAAGGAGAUAAGACUUUGAUUCAUUUUCUAUGAAAAUUAGGUAUGGAUGCAUAUAUUUGUAUAAAGAAAAUUAGGUAGAGUGUCAAUUGGAAGAAUUUUAAAAAGAUACAAAUUCUCAUCAUAAUAUGGAAUCCAACCAAAAAUGGAAAUCUUGAACUUGAGUUUAUUUGACCUAAUUUUAUGGGGAUUUUUAUGGGAUUGUGGUUUGUUGAAUGCCAAAUGAAUUGUGUUAUGUUUGAAAUAAUAGAUUAAUGUGAGGAAAAUUUCAUUUUAUGGAAUUUUAACGUUGUCCAAAUGGAUAAUAAAAGGGGAGGAAAAGGUUAAAUUAAGACGUACAUGGAAUUAUGAUGAAAAUAUGUUGUUAAAUUUACUUAAGAUGAAGUAAAGUGGACUUAUGAAAAAGAGUUGAUAAACUCAUCAUGAAAAUAAAUAAAAAAAAAAUAAGGUCAUUCGGCCAAGAGUUGGUUUGAUAAGGAAAAUGAAUUAGUUUCAAUGGUAUGAAUAAAUGCAAGGGUGUGAUGUUACUAAGUCUGUACAUGAUGGAUUGAGUAGACAAAAAUAAAAUAAAAUAAAAUAAAAUAAGAUUGUUAGGUCAUGUUUAAAGAUAUUCAGCCUGGAAAAACAAGUCAUGAAAAGAAAGGAAAUAAAUAAAUAAAUAUGUGAAUGCAUGUGUCAUGCAAUUCUAAAUUUAAAUGAAUUUUAGAAUGGAAUUUUCAAUUAUGGUGGAGCCACAUUUGAUAUGUAUCUUUAAUGAUACAGGAGAUAUUGCAGAAUCUGUUCAGUAGCAUGGGACUUUUGCACGAGUUAAAGCAUGAGGUAGGUGUCUUACACCUCAAACUUUUGUUUUUACAAUACUUGUUAGAGUUAAAUAAAUGGUAUUUUCUAUAAAUGUACUUGUGCUUGUGUAAUUGUGAAUGUUUAUCUCAAGGAAAAUAUAGUGGACUAGCUGGUUUGAAUAGAGUUAGUGGCACUACUGUACUGACUGUCGAGUUAGAUGUAUAAUAACAAAAAUGAAGUGUACCGACUUUAGGGUGAUAAAUUAAUGGUAUAUUAUGAUUAAAUUAUUGAUGCUCGAUUUAUAUAUGUAUACUGAUGAUGCGUUGUGUUUAAAUAAUUUAUGUGAAGGAAGCACGUGUAUCGCACCUUGUCUUUUUAAGUUGAGUAAACUUAUUGGUAAAUUUUAUAAUUUAUUGGUUUAUUGCUUCGAUGAUAUUGAAAUGAGUAAGAGUACCUUAUGUGCAACAGUAUACCUCUAUUGGUUAGGAUAAUGUUUGAACGAAUAGGAGUGACUUGCGUGUGUUGUUAUGUAUCGAAUUAAUUAUGUCAUUAUGGUCGUAGUGUUGAUAACUAAGUUUGUGUGGGAAUGAUGCUUAGCAACAGUUAUUAUAAUGCAUAUGAUGUUAAAAGAAAAAAAGAACAAAACAAAAAGAAGAAGAAGAAAAGAAAAAAAAAAGGGAUUGAUACGAAUGGAAAUUUCAAGUGACAUUGAUUAGCUAUCCGAGUUUGGAUAGCUAAUGGUAUCAAUGAGGUUUCAUUUGUACCGGCAAUUAGGGUGACAUUGAUUAGCUAUCCGAGUUUGGAUAGCUAAUGGUAUCAAUGAGGUUUCAUUGAUACCGGCAUUUAGGGUGACAUUGAUUAGCUAUCCGGGUUUGGAUAGCUAAUGGUAUCAAUGAGGUUUCAUUGGUAUCGGCAUUUCAGACAACAUUGAUUAGCAAUUCGGGUUUGGAUUGCUAAUGGUAUCAAUGAGGUUUCAUUGGUGCCGGCAUUUCUUAAAUUGAUUAGUCGAUCCCGAGCAAUUGGGUGACUAAUGAUGUUAGUAAAGAUUACUAACAUCGGCAUGGUUACUCCUGGUUCAGUGAAAAAGAUAGUGUCAAGGGUUCUUGACAUCGGCAACUUUGAUGGUAAAUCAGAUAUGAAUAAGAUUUGAUACUCCAGAAAAGAAUAGUUAAGGAUACUAAUCGGUUGUGUUAAUAUCGGUACAUGAAUGUAAGUGAUUAGUCUAUCUCAAUAUUAAAAAACUAAUGAUACUAAUGAGAUUUAUUAGUAUCGGCGACUACUUUCUAGAAAAUAAAAGGGAAAAUAGUAAUUAGUUAUUCCAAAGGAAUGAGAUAAGCUAAUGAUAUCAAGAGAGAAAUGUCUUGGUAUAAAGAAAUGAUUGAUUUAUAAGGAGAUGGUGUUCGAAAAUCAUUAAGUUGUGUUGAGAUUUCCAAGAUGAAAUUAUUCUCAACAAAUGGGAAAGGAUAUUAGAUGGAUAUUGGUAAUAGAUUGAAAAUGCAUGUUGUAAAAGAGGUUUAUACCUAAUUUUAUGUCUCAAAAGUGAAGAUUAUUAACUAUCAUUGUUAUUGUUUGUUACUACCUUUUUAUAUUUAUGUGUACACGUUAAUUUGUAUUUUCAGGUCUAUCAAGGUCGCGUCCGGAAUGAUAUUGGUUUAGUUACCUUUUGCUUUUGACCAUGUAAUUAUUUGUAAAUUAAGAGUCUUAUAUCCUAAAACUUGAAAUGUAAUAUUAAUUUGUAAAUUUGAAUGUAUGCCUUUAAUUUAAUGUUUGUAACUUUAAGUACCUAUUUAACUAUGCAUGUUUAGAGUUGGAAAUCGAAUCUUUAACUUGAAUUACAUUAUAUGACGUUAUUAAAUAACAUGUGUUGUGUUGAUGAUGUUGAGUUGGGUUGAGAUCCAAGAUGAUUGGAUCAGGAUGUGAAUUAAAAUUGGAAGUGUAAUAUGGUUUUGUCGAUAACUUGGGACCUCCUAUUAUAGAGGAGACUCUACCGAAAUUUUAGUAGAAAUUUGGUGGAACCGGUGUAUAUAUAUAUAUAUAUAUAUAUUAUAUAUAAAUUACCUGAAAAUUUCUAAUGUAUCGCGAAAAAGGAUGUGGGAAAUCGAGGUUGUUACAAUAUAGCUCAGCAAGACCCAGUAGAGUGAGAUUGUUGCCUAGCAGGACCCAAUAGAGUUGGGCCUUGUUAUUAGCUUUACCCAUUAUAAUUAUCAAGUUUUGAUUACCUAAGUAGGAAAGAUUUAUAGUAACAAACAAAGUGAGGAAAGCGAUAUCUCGAUGUUAUAAUAUAAAAAAUCAAUGUUAAAAAAUAAAAAAAAUAUUAACUUAAUAUAUAUAUAUUUUUUAAAAUAUGCAUUGACAAAUAACCUUUACAUAAUAAUAUAGUAACUAGCAUAUUGGCAUGCGAUCCACAAUGGGUUAAUAAUAUAUAUUUUUUUAAAUGUAAAAAUGUUUGAGUUGAGUUACAAGAAUGGAAUGUAUUUACACCGUUACUGUCUUCAAAUAAAAUAUUUUUCUACAUUAGAACCAUGAAUAAUACAUAGCAUAGUAGCGCCCAAUACACCUACAACUAAUUUCUUUUCCCUUAGUAUUUUUGUUUUAAGAUAUUUCUAAUUUGAUUUUUUUCCUCAUUAAUUUUUUUCCUCUCAUUGAAUUUUUUUUCUCUUGUUGAAUAUGAAAUAAAUUGACGUGACUUUUUUAUAUUGUACAAAGUUGGGUGAUGAUAAUUGUUUUUUUUUUAUUUCAGGUUGGGUUGAAUUUUCUUAUUAAGCAUAUUUGUUUUUGCGUUUCAAAAAUGUUUUUUUUAAUAUUUUUCUAUUUACUUCAAAUUAAUAUUUUUUGAUGUUUUUGUAUUAUUUGCAUGUAAUGAUAUAAAAAAUCAAUUUUAAAAAAUAAAAAAUAUUAUCUCUUUGUACUUUUUUUUCAAAUAUAUAUUUUAAAAAAUAAUCAUUACGUAAUAAUAUAGUAACUAGCAUAUUGGCUCGAACUUUACAACGGGUCAAUAACAAAAAAAAAAUUAAAUGUAAAAAUGUUUGAGGUGGUGUUAAAUGCGCAAAAUAUAUUUGCAUCGUCACCAUCUUCAAAUAAAAUAUUUUCAACAGUAGCAUCAUGAAAAGGAUAUGAUAGAGGAGCGCUCAAUACACCAACAACUAAUUUCUUUUCCUUAAUUUGUUUUUCCUUUUAAGACAUUUCCAAUUUGAUUUUUUUUCUUUUUCUUUUUUUCCUUUUUUCUUAUUGAGUUUUCCUUUUCAUAUUGUAAAGAUGAAAUAAAUUGAUGUGAUUUUUUUUAUAUUGUAUAGAGUUAGGUGAUGAUAAUUGUUUUUUCAUUUCAGGUUGGGUUGAAUUUUCUUAUUAAAGCAUGCUUGUUUUUUCAUUUCAAAAAUGUGUUUUAAAAAUAUUUUUUUUCUUUACUUCAAAUUAAUAUUUUUUGAUAUUUUUGUAUUAUUUUGAUGUGAUGAUAUAAAAAAUAAAAUUUUAAAAAUUAAUGAAUGGUUGUGAAGCGUGCCUUACACUAUCUAAAAGGCACUAUCAAGUUUGGUUUUCUUUAUGCUCUAAGAGAAAUCACAAUAAAUGCUUGUCGUGACUCCAAUUGGACAGACAAUCUUGAUGACAAGCGCAAUACUACUAGUUAUAGUAGAGUGGUGAAGAGUAGUGAGUUGUCUCUCACUCCAACACAAAAGAUGAAUACAAAAGCAUGUCCAUACAAGUGCUGAAAUGUACUGGUUUUGUAUGCUUCUUUUUCAGGAUUUACACAUCAUAUUGUCUAUUGCCCCGCACUUAUGGUGCGAUAACAUUAGUGUCAUUGCAUCAACUUGUAACCAUGUCUUUCAUUGAUGCACAAAGCACAUCAAAAUUGACUAUCAUUUAAUCAAGGAGAAGUUGGUUAAUCAUGAUAUUCAAGUCAAGUAAUUCAACACAAUACCAGAUCGCGGAUAAUGUGGUCUUUUAAUUGUAAUCUUAGAGGUAAUUUGGUCUUUUAAUUAACAUUAAUAUUAAUUGAAAAAAAUAUUUUAUUUUAUUUUUUAAUUUUAUCAUUUGAUUUUUUUUUCAAAUAGAGUUAUUAUGGUCACAAACAAACGUUCUAUUUUAUGAUUGAUAUUUGAAAUUGUAAGCAUUUAUUUUUCAUCAUAUAAUCAAAGUAAAAAUUAUUUUUGAAAAAAAGUUAUCAAACCCGACUGGGUCCAUACACCGAGUUGAGGGGUAACUAGGGUCAUUUAAUAUAUUGUUGUCUCGAUACUUUAAAAAAGUCUCCAUGUUGAUUUUUUUUUUUCAUAGGUUAAGUCAUGCUUUUAUGCAAUUUAAAUAGAAACUCUCGCCAAGCUAGGAGUCAUGUAGAGAACUUUCAAGAUUUAUCCACUUGUCUGGGUUUAAAACAUCACCAAAAAAUCUUGGGACUCCUAGGCUCCGUUUGUUUUGCAAUUGCUUUUGGGUUAGUGGUGCAGUAAACGCAACAAGAUGUUUGGUAACAAACCAAAUUAUAUUUUGUACUGCAGGGCCCUCUAUAAAAUUGAGUAUUAAAUACAGUUUUUGUGAAGCAGUUUUUACAUGUUUUUUAAAUUGAGUUUCAUAAAACCCUUUUUGUUUUUUAGUUUCGAAAGCGAUUUUUAAAUUUAUUUUUUUUGUUAUUUCAAAUUAAUAUUUUUUAUGCUUUCAGAUUGUUUUGUUGUGCUUAUAUCAAAAAUAAUUUUUAAAAAAUAAAAAAUAUUUUGAUAUAUUUACAAGUAAAAGACACUUUGAAAAGCAACCGUAACCACACUUCCAAAUACAACUACCAAGUAUAUUAUACAUGUUUUUUGCUACACAUAAAUUUCAAUUAGAAUUUUUAUCAAACACGUAUCUAAAUGUAACCAAUCACACUUUUUUAAAACUUAAUUUUUCUUUUAAAUCACAACCAUAAAAAAUACCUUAAAAACAAACAAACUCUUAAUAUUCAUUUUUUAUGUUAUGAAAAAAUUAGAUCGACAUCUGGCGGAGCACGUACAAUAAGCUAAUUUUUAUAUACUAAGCAAUAAAAGUUGCAUACUUUGUUGAUGUUUUAAUUUUUGUCAUACAGAGAUAAAAUGACAUCUUAUUAUAUAGUUUCUGUACAUGUGAUAUCAUAUAACUUGCAAGUAAUUUGAUCCAUCGUAUACAUGGCUAUAUCCACUUGUCAUAACGGUAGCUCUUCCUUUGAAUUUUGAUGUUUUUUUUUAUUAACAUGGGUAUUCAGAUCAGUUUGUGUGCACCUUGACUAAUCUUACGGGCCUUAAAGUUAAAACGAUGUAAACUUCCAGCGACUCUUAGGUCUGCGAGACUCGAACUAAUGAUCUCUAAAAAAUAAAUAUAAUACCUGAUCAGUUGAGCUAUAUCCCUAAAAGUUAAAUUAUAAUUAUUUUAUUGUUGAAUGUUUAUACAUCCUUAGGAGCAUUAAUAUCAAGUGAGUACAUUAUGUUUUUUUUUUUUAAAAAUAUUUUUUAAUUAAAAUAUAUAGUAAAAUAAUAUUUUUUAGCUAUUUUUAUUAUUAACAACACUAUAUUAAUUAUAUAUUUUUUCUAGUAAAAAAUAAUUUAAAAUACAUUUAAAAAAAACAUUUGUAACGCCAAAAACAAACGCUCAACAAACCUUUCAAUUUAUAAAUAUAUUAAAAAUCUUUUACAUUUCUUGAAAAAUAUUUUUAUAAUAAUCACUUGUCUAAUGAUUCACUUGUAUUUUUUUAACCCAGACCAUCAUACCAAACAUUAAGCCCAAAUCUGCAAGACUCCAUGGACCAGAACACCAGCCUAUUGAAAGCCCGAACGACCAAAAAUAUGGGCUCGUUAUAAUGGGCCAUAAUACCCGUCCAUAAACCCAUUUACAACAACAAGAAGAUCUACAAAACCACAGCCCUGAUAUCAAUUUCAGUCACCACUCGCAACUAGACUACCACCUAACCCAUAGGCCCAUUUACAGCAGGAAGAAGAUCUGGAAGAGCAGAGCAGGCGGAGUCAAAAUCCCAGAGGUGCUUCGAGAUUGCGCCCCAAAAUCAUGGCGGGAACAUUUAGCGCCAUCAAUUCGAAAUUCCCGCCACUGGCGAGCCUCUCUCUACUUAAUCACCAUAUCCCUGCCCCCCUCCGUCUUCUCAACUACCGUUUUUGUCACAGUCGAAACCCUCAAGUCCUCAAAAUGCCUCCAGCAGAUCUACAAAACCACAGCCCUGAUAUCAAAGAGCCUUCUCCUAAAGUCCCCAAGCUCCAACAUGAUGACAUCCCGUCAUAUCUCCUAAGAGUGAAAAAACUCUCUGAAAAUGCUGUUUUGCCCUCUAGAGGCUCUCCCCUUUCCGCUGGCUAUGAUCUCUCCAGGUAUAUAGCAAAACCCUCUUCCAGUCCUUUCAUUUUUCACAAGGUCAGCGCAGGAUUAUUAGCAAAUUUAUGGUUUUUUAUUUUAAUGUCUUGCAGUGCCUCAAAGGCAAAGGUACCAGCUAGAGGAAAGGCCCUUAUCCCUACAGAUUUGAGCAUUGCAAUACCUGAAGGAACUUAUGCUCGCAUUGGUAAAUCUCACCCUGUAUUUUUAAAUGUUAUAUAUGUUUGUUUUACAUACGGUUUGAUUUUGUUUCUGAAGUCGGGUUUUGUUGAUUUAGCACCCAGAUCGGGACUGACAUGGAAGCAUUCAAUUGACGUGGGUGCUGGUGUCAUAGACGCAGACUACAGAGGCCCAGUUGGGGUUAUCUUGUUUAAUCAUUCUGAUGUUGAUUUUGAGGUCAAGGUUGGCGAUAGGAUUGCGCAGUUAAUCAUCGAGAAGAUCGUGACUCCGAAUGUUAUGGAAGUCGAGGAUCUGGAUGCAACUGUGAGAGGUGCUGGAGGGUUUGGAUCCACUGGCGUGUAAGCUUCCCGUGCCUCAUACGACCUCUCUUGAAAACUCAUGUUUCUUAGCUGGUAAAUCUAGUGAACAGAUUGUCGGAUUAGUGGUUAAUGUUUUAGGUCUGGUAACGAACCUUGGUUUGCAAUGAAAACAUGGUAUUUUUAUUCACCUUUAGCAACAAGGCUAUGGGGAUUUAUCUUGCUCCAUAACCUCUAAAAUUACUCAGGUGUGAGAAAUUGAACUGGCUAAUUUCACAAAUACAUGGAGAAUUGGUGUUCCUGGCAUGAAAUGCUCCUCAUAUAUAUAAUAUCCCAUAAUUUACUAGAAAAAGAUAAUGCCUUAUCCACUUGAAGUGGGGAUAAGAACAGCACAAACCAUAAAGCGCCAUCACCCUAAAAGACUUACUAUUCAGUUGCUUCCACUGCCACUGGGGUAAGUGCAAGCAUUAUAACCUGUAGAACAGAAGAAUAAAGGAACGUUACAGAGACUGUAGUUUACGCGUAAACGCAGUAAAAUGCAGAGGGGUUAGCAAGUCCAACAAGUAAAAGUAUUCUGAGGGAACUUACUGGGGUUGUUGGACGAGAGAGUGGCUGAUUGUGAGAAAUCACAGUUCAAAGGAUUUUUAUCAGAAGUUUGAUAGAAGAGAUUCAUGGCAUAAGCAGCAUGUGAUGCUAGCGUGUUUGGUUCAAAGCAAGCCCCGCCUGGUUCGAUCGGACUACAGUCAAUCCCUCGUCCACAAGCAUAAUCCAGAUUAGACUGCAAUUGGGCAUCCGAUACACCAGACUUAGGCACACACCAUGUUGCUUUCUUCGACGUUGGAGAUGGGUUCGUCGGAGUUUUUGGUGUAGCCGGAGUCUUAAAGCACAACAGCUCAAGUUAAUAAAACUCCAUAAACUACUAUUACAGUAUUACAACUGAGAUGAACAGAGAUAUGGUACACAGAACAUGAUGAAUAUGGCAACAGUACACCCUCCCUCAUUCCAUUGGAUUAAGGAAAGAAUGCACCAUGAAAACUGUAAAUUAGCUGAUCCACAUGCAUGAACUAGCUCAUAAACCUUGAAAGGGAACUGCCCAUUCUUUUUAACAAUCAAAACAGUAGAAUCUAUAAAAGCUUGGAGUUGAAUUAUAAAUAUUAUUGAAAUAUAAUAAAAUUUGGCUCUUAAUUACCUGGCUACUUUUAGAGAGCCCAACAUUAUAAGCCAUGGUGAGAUCAGGCUUGAAGAGUCCAAAUGAUCGCUCAGAACCAGGUCCAGGUUUCAAGUCUUCAUCAUAUAGAGCAAACAGGUAUGUAUCCACUGAUUUUCCUGGCAUGAGAGGAGUGCCCUCCAUGGAUCGAAGGUGUGCAAUCAAAUUGCCAUUAUAAGCCUUGGCAUUCUCAAUACUUGGCCCUAUUUCGUUGUCAUCUCCUUUGUAUGGCCAUCCAGUCUCAGCCACCACAAUCUCUACAUUCUUAAAUCCAAUAGAAUUCAGUGCAGAAAAAACUGCAUCAACCUGCAAUUCAAAAACAACCACUGCUUCUAAGCAACAUUUUUUUUUAAAAGACAGUAGUUGAGUUGCAAUUUGAUUUGCUCCAUCUCACCUGAGCAUCAAACAUGUUCAUGUACUUAAUCUUAGUGUUUCCGUCCACCCGUCCCGCAUUCUGCUGGAAAAGGCAAAAAGCAAGAGUCUCGGGCCUUGUAUCGCUUCUGUAAGCAAAGUAAGGGUAGGGAUUGAUGGCAAAAGGCGAAGCAGUCGCAUUGUUAAACCCCAACAAGCCCUUCAUCAAAUCCUCAUAGCUUGGAUCAAACCUUCCAGAAGAAGGCGGCUCCGACUGCUUAAGCACUCCCAUCGAGUGAACAGUAGAGACCUUAAUUUCCCCCCCGAGCGACACAUCGUUUAGAGCAUUCUGUACAUUUUGCAUGGCUGGUAAGAGCUUGUUCAUGAGAUUCUGGUCACCGGAAGUCAUCACCUCGUUUCCAACAUUGAUGAGGAUGAUUUUGGAAGCUGGAUAGAAGGGGAGCACGUUCGUGCUGAUCCAGUUCUUGGCAAAACUGGGAUCAGAGGCUAGUGCUGGAAUGUCACCAUUUGCAGUGCCGAUAACAAUUCCAAUUCCGGUGUUGGCUAAGGCUUUUAUGAUGGCCGGGUCCGAUCCAUAUAAUCGAACCUUUUGGAUUGAAGUGGAUUGGAGAAGCUUUGCGGUGUCUGAUGGUGGUGGAAGGUUGUCAGCAACUUGGCCGUAGUUUACACCGAUAAAUGAUUGCGAGUCUAGCACCAAGAUAUUUAAAAGCAGGUGAUCGAAUCAAACAGUUAAUUAAUAUAUAAUAUUUCAAGCUUACUAAAAAUGGAAAGAGACGUAAUUUAAACUCACUUGCAAUAUUUACAGUCAGUGAGAAGGAAACGAGGAGGAGGAAAGCAACAGCAGAAGGAAGCACUGCCAUGACUGAGGAGGAGCUUAUGUCUCUCUGUUUUGCAUAUUUUGAAGAAAGUGGAGCGGGGGGCGAUAAAUAUAGAAGAAGAAUAUGCUAAAGUCGAUGGUAGAACCGUAAAAACAACUUUCGGUGUGAAGCUGAAACUUCGUAUGUUUUUCACUUGGAGCGGUGGGGCUGCCAAUUACUUAGCUUCGCUGAAUGUUAUUUAUUUUAAUUGCAUGAUAUUCUAACAGUAUAUUUGUAAUUACAACUUUUUAAAAUAUACUUUUUAAAUGUAUUAAAAUAAUUUAAAAACUAGGUACAAGGAACAUAUUGUUUAUAAGAUAUUAUUUGAUUAAGUUAAACAACAUUAUCUUUGAUAAAUUAAACAGAAAUAUAGUUUUUUUAGCUCGACUCCCAAAUUUAUAUAUUUAUUAAUUGAUAUAACUAUAUGAUAUAUGAUAAAUGAACAUAAAUUUUAACAAAUCAAGGAAGAAAACUUAUGUGAUAUACUGAUAUUGGUCUAGAUACCGGUGCCCUUGUAAAAAAGGAUAUGCCCGUGUCGGCAAAUCACCUUACCGGAGGAAAACUUAGCUAUUACGAAACAACGUGCCUCUUUUUUCACAACGGAAAGCAUAUUUUCCCAGUGAAGAAAAGUAAAGCAUAUUCAAGUUAAAGAAGGUGGGUUUCCUUUGGCAAAUGCGUGUAUAAUUGGUGGCACAAGAAUGCUUAGAAUAAUGCAUUGCUAAAGCAAAGCUUUGAAAAAGCUUCAUUUCAUGCUAACCAGGUCGCGAGGCCGAUUGUUUUACUGGGCUCUUAACCCUUGAGCCUUUUCAUGUACCCAAGAAAAGCAAAGAAAAAAACUAUAUGCUACCAUUAAAAACAGGAAGGAAACUUCAACAAUAAUACUGAAAGUAGCUCAACUAAUUAAAUUUUAAAUUUAAUUUUUAAUAAUAAUAAAUUUAAUUUUUUUAAAAAAUGCUAAAAAGAUUUAUAUAAAAUUUUAGAGUUUGCAGAAUUAAUUAAAAUACAUAUUAAAGGACAAAAACAAGUGACGAGGCCGAUUGUUUUCCUGGGCUCUUGACUCUUGCGCCCCUUCAUGUACCCGAGAAAAGAAAAGAAAAGAACUAUAUGCUAUCUUUAAAAACAAAUGAAGGAAACUUUGAAAGAUAGCUUAACUUAAAUUUAUUUAAUAAUAAUUACGAGUCAAACUCUUUUAAGAUUAUUAAAAAAAUUUACAUAAUUAUUAAUUUUAAAAACUUCGACAGGCGUGCUUUACUUUUGUUAAUAUCUAUCUACUUUCCAAUUCAUUAAGUAUGAAUUGAUGUCAUCUGCCAACAAUUUUUAAUGGAUAACUAACAAGCUUACUCUGAGAACAUAAUUCUGGCAGUAGAAAUGUAUUAUUCACACAAAAUCCUGCAUAUAAGCAUUACAUUUGAACCAAAAAAAUCAGUAGAAAAUGCGUCCCCUCUCUUUUAUAGAGAAAUAAUUAUUCUUCAGUCCAAUCAAAAUACUGGCAGAAGGUCUCUGGUAACUUCAUCAAGUAGGCCAUUGAGCAUGGACUUCUCAACAUCCCUUGCAACAUCAUCUUUUUCAAGAAAUCCAAACAUCUUGUCCCAACCGAAGUCCCACAUGCAGUUCACAUCUAAAUCCCAGCUGUACACAUCACAUUCCACCAUUUUCGGCAGGUAAUCUUCAACAAGACACUCUGCAUUACCAUUUCUACCGUAGAAUUUCAACUUCUCCAAGUCUUUGUGCAAUUCCUUGAUCAACUUUUCCAAAGAUUUCACCUUAACGCAGGUUGUAGAUAUUUCCAUCAAUGGAUGGACACUGAGCUCUUCCCUUUUUCCUUUCCUUUUCAUUAUCUCGUAUCCACAGUCUAAUAUGAGCUUGCUUUCUUCGUCGUGAUACUCUUCACUACCAGCACGGAGAAUGCCCAGAGGGAUGUCGAGUUUGAACAGUGCCUCUGCUGUGUUAAGGAAUAAUUGACUUCUUAUCAGGAUCUGCUUCAGGUGGUUUUCACUUUCACUUAGUGGCUCUGGUGCCACCGAUUUCGAUGCUUUUUGCUUCUCCAUUUGUGAGGGGUCAGCAAUAUCUUUGCUGUUUAGACGAGUUCCUGCAUACAUUUCCAACAACGAAGAAUGAAUGAUAUAAUAUAUAUAGUGGGGUGUCUGUUUUUCAUGCUCUUAAUGAUAGAAGUUGGUUUGAGAGCAAACAAGGAUUCACAGGUAGAUUUUACAUGGAAAACCUAAUUCUACGUGGUAGAUUAACAUGAGGUAGGAUCUGGGGAAUAAUGCAAAUGGGGAGAGCAGUACUCUGGGUAGUGAAACUCAAAGGCAAAGUUGUACCUACCAUUAAGUGAAUCCAAAACAACGUUGUGAGAUUGCUGUUGAUCCCUGCCCAAUUUCUGACCUUGUUGCUCAUUUGUCACCGUUGAGAUUGUGCUUUGACACUGCAUAAGACCGAAAAGAGCUUGUGUUAGCUCACUACCAAGCAGCAAGAAUUGUCCCCUGUGAAGAAGUGGCUUAUAGUUUGUGUGAGUUUAAAGGGUAUUCUGUGAAUAUUUUCUUAGAUUGCAGUAACAAAUGCGCUUACACUGUCAGUUUGAACUAGCAUAUUUGGUCCUUCGAGGAUUUGGCUGUAAUAGUUGGAUGCUUGUUCAACUCUACUAUGCAGAUCUUCCAACACAUCCGAUUGCUGGAUGAUUUCCAUUGAUUUGCUGGAUUUAACAAUGCGUGCCUCUGCUUCUCUAGACCUGAUGGCUCUCACUUGUUCAACUUUGGAUCCACCAAGUUUUUCGCGCCUUUUCUGUUUACCUUCUUGCGAUGCAGAAGUCUGAUGUUUUUGUGGCCUUGCCAAGCUGUGUGGGGUUCCGCCUUUUCUUGUCACCAGUUCAUCAAUCCUUCGAGGAGUCUUAGCUUUUGGUCCCUUGGUAUUCAUCACAUUCUGUGUGGCUGGUGGAUGAGCUUGCUUUUCUUGCAUAGUUGGAUUGCUGAUUUUCUUCAUCAUAUCAUGUUUCAGAUCGAUUGGGGAGCAAUGUUGAUUCAAGUUCAUGGUCUUUGAAUCUUUCAAGCUAGCCUGGUUAUUAUUAGAACUUAUUCCGUAGACAAGAUCUUCAUGUUGCCUGCCAGCUGGAAACCCUUUGGAUGGCACUCCAUCAACUGGUUCUUUAGAACUUCUACUGCUAGGAGUUGCCUGGUUUGUCUGUGAAUGCCUUUUUUGGAAACUCACAAUGUCAUUCAUGGGGGCAGUCGUGUUCUUGGACAUUACUUCAGUACUUGCCUUUUGAGUUCUAUCUUGAAUCUUCUGUCUAGCAAUCUGCCACUCUCUCUCUCCAGCAUGAUGUUUUAUGUCUCGUUGUUCAAAGUUCUGGAAUGUUUGAGGCUGUCGGAAUCCAGUAUCAUUGGAGGACUUCGGUUGAUCGUUGUAAAUGUACCUGUUUUCAUCUCUCUUUUCUGUUUCAAGAAUACUUGCGUUGUGCUCUAUUUGCCAUUGCAUUGUAAGUGCAGAUCCCGUUCCAUUUUGUGCCAGUGAUGCCAUCUGAUGCAGCUCAGGCUUUCGGAUUAAUUCUCUUGUUUCACCUCGAUCUUUCCCUUUCUGCUCUCUGGUCUUAGUAUUAUCCUGAACAGUUUUUCGCUUCCCUGUGCUUUGGCUCGUUUGGAUGUUGUUGCUUUGGUGCCUAUCCAUUUUCACAUUAGCUUUAUUCGAGCCUCUCUCUGAUUUCAUCCCCUCCACCUCUUUCUUGGGUGGCUUUCCAUCAUGCAUAGUCAUUUCAAAGCUAGCAUGGUGAUUUGGCAGGUUCUUUUCUGCUUGCAAGGCAUUUUUUGGGUCCUGGAGCAUCUUAAUUUGGUUGGGCUGCAUCUGUUUUUGUUUUCUUAUUGUGAACACUGAAUUCUCAGCAUCUUUUGUCCCGCGUUCUCGUGCAGUGCUCCCUUCUGCAGAUUUAUUUGUGACAUUCCUUUCAGUUUUCUGCUUGGGACUUGACUCUUUCUUUGCGUGUUUUGAAUCUGCAUUUUCUGGAACCUCCUCCAGACCCAUUAGUUUUGCAAUUACAUUUGGAAUUCUCACCUUUUCUGGUUUGGAUUUUGAUGAACUCGACUGGUUCUUCUGUUCAGAUAAUGCUGCUGAAGUCUUUGACGUGGAGCCAUGGCUAGAUGAUUUCUUGUGAGAAGCUGAAUUUGAGGUGCGUAAAAUGUGUUUAUCAUGGUUGAAAUUUGUAGCUUCUGAUGAAUAGGUCAGAGCCAUUAGCCUCUGCCUGAGAUCAGUCCCUGCAACUUCCUGAAAGUGAUGAGAAUUUCUUGAGGGCUUGUCAAAGGAGAACCUUGGCAGAGCAAGUUGUUUAUGCUCAGCUGUUCUGACGAAAUUGUCUUCAUCGUCGUCGUCAUCCUCAUCAAGCAACGUGAUACGAGUUUUGCUCUGUGGGGUGAUCAUAUAUUCUGAAGCUUCUUGCAGGUUUACAAGCAUCCUCAAAGACUCUUCCAAAUCCAUGGCCCCUUUGAGUAGUUCCUUGCCAAUUUCUAUUGAAUAUGAUUCAAAGUUAAGGCCAUUUGAACAAGCUCUCAGGAUCUGAUGCAACUUCUGUGCACCUUUUGAUAUUUCUUUGAUGUGGAUAUGGGAGAGGGUAGGGAAACGGUUGCUUGAAGAGUCAUGUCUAUCAAUACCGCUUCUUUCCAUCCUCCCCACUUCCACUGAUCUUCUGCCAAUUUGAUGCAGGAAACCUAGCACUGAACUAUUGCCAGACGAAUCCAUUCUUCUGAGUUUUCCACCAUUCUCAAGGGCAAAAGCCAGUGCCAUGGACAGAUCUCCUAUUUGCUUCGAGCUUCGACCUUUCCCGUAUGGAACAAUCUCUGUUGAAGCUUCUCCAUGGGAGAGUGUUCUAUUGCUUCCACUAGUUUUGUUGUGCGCGCUUCCACUCCUAAUGCCAUUCUGUGGUCAUGGAGCAGUUUGAGUAAAUUGGAAAUCCAUAAUAACUACCACUGUCAUGAGAUUGAGCCAUGAUACUCACACUUUUAUGGGCCUUCAUUUCCAUGGAUCCUCUGUGAGUUUGCUUGGAAUUGGCGUAUACAUCUGCACAAGCACAUGAUGCAGAGAAAACAACAAUCACUCUUCAAAAUAUCCAAGCACCUACUCCUACUACAACGCAUAUACUGUCCUUUGAUCUUGAAAAUAGGCAGGAAUUUUGUAUACUACAAGACUGGAUGCCACUGCCUAGUUUUAGAUGAUCAUUUCUAAUUCACAAGUUAAAUAUAGAAGCACCCAGUAUUCUGAAUUGUUUAGACCACAAUUUUUCACUUGUUUAAGCCUUCUAAAUGUUCGAUUUGCACAUUAAACAAAACUAGUGGACAGUGAAAUUUGAUGGAAUGCUAACCUGGAGCAGCUGAUUUCGAACGUUUUGAGCUCUGAGAAACAGCCAUUCGUUCCUUCCUCAACCGGAGAUCGUCUAACAGCUUCUGUGCAAAUUCCGACCUCUUAGCCAUACUGUUCCUCUGUGCUGGAACCAAGUUCCAGUGCCCUCAAACUCUUCAGAAAGAGAAGUGGAAGAGUCUCUUUACAUUGUUGAGGAGUUUUUCUUACACAGAAGAGGAUGUUCCCUUGUUUCUUUUCUAGUUGAGAGGCCUCUUUCGGAGGUGGGUGAGGUGGGAAGUCCAGUGGAAAGCAAUGGAAUGGAGUUUUGAAUUUUUACCCUGAAAGUUUGAUAUGAACGUUAGCUCUCUCCCCCCAUCUCUCUCUGACUUUGAUUCUAAUCCAAGCAAUGGCAGAGGUUUCAAAGGGCUUCUCUUUCGAGCAUUCACUGUGUGUUCUUUUUUUCAUUAAUUUUUUUCCAUUUUUGAUAUGCUUGCUACUUGGAAAAAUGCAGCAAUUAUAUUUCGAUUUAUUCAUAUAGUUCAGGAUGAUUCGUUCCUGUCAAUUGAAGGGACAAAGGGGUGUGUUUGUAUAUUUUGAGAGAGAAGCUACUGUGUACCCUUUUGUCCAUGUGCUUCGGGUUAAAGCAAGAGAUGAUGUGUCUAAAAGUGGCAUGGGAGCAUGGCCAUGGCACAUGACAUGGAUAUCACAUUCAUGAAGACGAAAUUAGCAUCUUCCAUUUUAGAGUGCGUUGAGUGACUUGGAAUAUAUGCUUGUCAGGAAUCAUGCAAGGUAUGGGCAAGCAACAUGUGAUUGUGGAGCCAUGGAAAUACAAACGUUAUGGAUUUGAGCACAGUUGCAUCCACCCGCGUAAGUGUAGGGAUGAUUAUUUUCGGUCCAGUUUGAUUUUUAUAAAAAAAAUAACUACAUUGAAAUUUUAAAAAAAAAAAACAAAAAACCGGUUUAGCUCAGUUUUUUCUGGUUUGGCUUGAUUUUUCGGUUUGGUUCGAUUUGGUUUUUUUGGUUUUAGGUUUAUAAAAUUGAUACCGAACCGGUUAAUUUUUUUAAAAUUUUAAUUGAUUUAAUCAGUUUUUUUUUAUUAUUUGAUUUUUUCAGUUUUUUUUUUUUUUUAGUUUUCUCAAUAUUUUUAAUUUUAUGAUUUUUUUACUCACCAUUACUUCUAAGGAGAUGGCGCGGAGGGAGUAUCAUGGAGAUCAGAUCAAACAUUCACAGGGAUUACACGACAGCCCGAUUUGGUAAAUCCGUCAUCCUCUAGCUCAAGCGUUACCUGGGCGAUUGCAGCAAUUACGUUCACAAAUGAAACUCUUCUUUGCAAUAAAUACAUUAAAAUUGAUGGGCCUCGUGGUUUUCUAUUCACCAAUGUAGUGUGGUGAUUUUCCCCCUUUGUAUAAAAAUUUACUUCCUUUAAAUUAUAGAUAUUUUUAUCUUUCUAUACGGUUUGUUAAAUAUCAUGGAUUUUUUUUAAGAUAUUUUAGUUAAUUCAAUAUAUUUAUAAACAGUAAAGUAAUCAAAAUACCUUAAAAUGUAAAAACAAAUAAAUAGUUUUGGGUAGAGAUAUUCCAGUAUUUUUGUUUUUUAUACACGGUAGAAGCAUAAACAUAGUUUAUUAAAUCCAGCCUUAUCCAGAAUUUAUAUAAAAUUUAGAGUGCGUUUGGGAACGCGGUUGAAACCGUGUUCCCACAAAAUUUUUUUAAAAAAAUUGUUUGCUAAAAUUUAAUACGGUUUAUACGUUUUGGAUCAUUUUGAUGUGCUGAUGUUAAAAAUAAUUUUUAAAAAAUAAAAAAAAUCAUUGGCAUGCAUUUCGGCACGAAAAGUUAUUUGAAAAACAACCGCUACCACACUGCGUAGGAUAAAAAAAUAUAUGUUGUUUUUUUUAAAAAAAAAUUAAACUAAUGUGUCUAGUAAGAUAGUGUAGGGUGCUUUAUAAAAAUAUUUUUUUUGAUUGAAUUAUAUCAUUUUUUUAAAAAUUUUUAUAAUAGUAUAUCAAAACCUUUAAAAGAUAUCAAUUUUAUCAUUCUUUUAAGAUAGAAGCAAUUUGAAUAUUAACAAAAACUAAAGCUUGUGGUGUUUUUACUAUACAUAAAAUUACUACUCACUCUCUCAAAAAUUAUUAUGGAUUGGAGCAAUGAUUUCUUGAAAAGUUUCAAUCUGACCUUUGAACUUCUUUUUUUUAUAUAUAAUUGAGUCAUUUUAAACCAAAAUUAACACCUAGUUGCAUGCUUCAUUUAAAAAAAAAAAAAAACAGGGACGGUUGAGUUUGAAAGACAAGGAAUUGAAAUGAAAAACACAUGUGAUAUAAGGGGCGCUUUCAAAUUUAUUUAUGAAGCAUAUUUUAGUUUAAUAGGUUUUGUUUUUUAUCUAUAAGGUGACCAGUCCCUUUAAUUUAUAUAAAAUAUGAAUUUUGAUACCAAUCUUUAUUUUAAGUUUUUUUUCAUGGGAGGAGAGACAUGAAUUAUCGAAUUCUGGUGAAGAUAAAGAAAGCUCUUCGUCGAUGACAAUUCCGACCACCAAAAACAUUAAAAUUGGUGUAAAUGGGUUUCACUAAGUAAAAGGAGUCUUAUGGUUGUUAUUUUAAGCCUUAAUAUAGCCUAAAAAGCCAUAUUUAGGUAAAGGAUAUAAUUUUUUUUCCAAAUUGAUUUAGUGGUUUAGGCCUUUUUUGGUUUAAAAGGUUAAUAAGUUGGUUUCUUUGUGUUCCACAUAUGUUUUUAGAGUGUUUUGUGGUUAAAAUUAGUUGAAAAUGAGUUUUUUUUUUUAAAAAAAAACAUUGGCUUGAUUUUUUUGCUAUCACACUGAUGAUCAGAAUCUAGGCUGACAAACGACAUGUCGGUUGCCAUAGUAGGUGACAUGUUAUCUACCUAUUCUUUUUUUUACAAAAAUUAGGGGUGAUCAUUUUCAACUCGGUUCGGUUUUUAUUAAAAAAAAAUCAAACCAAAUUAAAAAAAAAACAAAACCGGUUUCAGUUCGGUUUUAGUACAAAAACUGGUUCAAACCGGUUUGCCUUGGUUUUUCCCGGUUUAACUCAGUUUUUUUUUGUUUUUUUUCGGUUCGGUUUUUUAUGUUUUAUGCUUAUAAAACCGAAUCAAACCGAUUGGUUUUUUAAAAAUUUUAAUCGGUUUUUUUUCAUAGUUUGGUUUUUUUAAUUAUUUAUUUUUCAUUUUUUUUGGUUUAAUCGGUUGUUUAGUUUUUUUUGCUCACCCAUAACAAAAAUAAUAGGUCAAAAGACAAGCUUUUCUUUUUGGUACUUUUUUUCCUUUUUGUUAAAUUAAUAACUUUUUUAAUGUCUUUUUAAAAUAUUUUUUAAGUUUUUUUUUUCUUAUCUAGCCUUUUUUAAAACAACGAUUAUUUUUUAAUUAUAUUGGGUGUCUUUAAUCUCUUAUAAGGUUAAUACGAUUUAUCUGUAACUUAUAUAUAUAUAUAUAUAUAUAUAUAUAUAUCAAAUUUAUUUUUAUAAAUUACUAAUAUUUAUUUUUCUUGAUAUUUUUAACAUGUGCAACCUUACAUAGUAUUUUUUUUCCCUACAUUUUAUUCAAUAAAUUUCACAUUUUUGUCAAUUUUUAUUACAAAUUGAUUUUAGUUAACAAAUUCAUUAAACAUAAUCGGGUAAAUGACCCGUGUUGCGCUAUUAAAUAUCUUGAUUUAUAUUUGUUUUUUAAUUAUUGCAAUUUCAUUUUCUUUAAUAAUCAAUUUCCUUUUCUAUCGAAUUAUGCAUGAUAGAUAUAUAAUCUUGACUUAUCUCAUCUUCAGGUCUCUUCAGGUCAUGGAUUUCACGUGUUAACCUAAAUUUAUCCAUAGCAAUAUUUUUUUCAUUUAUUUUUGUUCUUGUUGAUACCUCGUUUUUUAUUGUAUUAUCAAAUUAUUUAAAAUUUAAAUCAAUCAUUGAAUCUCUCUCACUUCUUUCAAAACAUGAUUAUCUUCUCUUUUUUUGGGUUAAAAUUAUUUUUUUGGCCUGCAACGUUGCAUGGGCCACCAAUCUAGUCAAUUUCUAAAAACAAAUCAAAUAACACAUCCCUUGAUUUAACAGGAUCUUAAAACACUGAAUGCCUUUUUUAAUUGGUGUUAGGAAAAAUUAGAUCAUUGGUUUGGGCUACGUCACAUGUGAGAUCAAUUUUAUUUUAAUGUAAAAAAAUAUUUAUGUGUUGCUAAUGUUUUUUUAUAGAAAAUAAAUUAAACUAUAUAAAGGUUGACCUGAUAUGAUUUGGUUGAUGUGGUGAGUCCAUUGACAAACCAGAAGAUUGGUAGUUUGAGAAAAAUAAAAUUCAAAACAAUGUCUUUUUUUUAAAAGAUAUUAAAACGAAAACAUAUUAGAUUGAUCUAUUCGUAUCAACUUUGAUUAACUUGUUAAAUUUACAAUCCUAGUUACGGGAUCAUGACAAUCCGAUGAGUCUAAUGACAAACUAGAGGAAUAGUCAAAAAGUAGUUUGAGAAAAACAAAAUUCAAAAUGAUGUCUUAUUUUUAAAGAUAUUAAACCAAAAACAUAGUAGAUCAAUCGAUGCAUAUCAGCUUUAGUUAACUUGUUAAAUUUAUAACUCUAAUCACAAAAUCAUGACAACCCAACAAAAAAGUAAAUUGUAAGAAAUUUUAAAGUUUAAUUUUCAAUCAACCUAAUGUUAAAUGAUGAAAUUGAAAAAAAAACUAAAAAAAAAUGGUCAAUCUAGAUUGAUAUGCUAAAACCACAUCCCAGAUCAUGAGAUCAGGAUAACAUCAUAAAAAGCAAAUCAAAACAAAUUAUAAAAUUCAAUUCUUAAUAAACUUAAUGUCGAAUGAUAAAAUUAAAAAAAAAUAAAUUAAAAAAGAAAAUAUAACAUGGGUUAAUCCACCAAAUCAUGGCUCACAGGUUCAUAAGACCAGGAUAACUUGUAGAAAACAAAUUAAAAAACAACUCCAGUUAACUCGGGUUAACCUACCGUACCCACAACCUAGGUUAUAAGGUUAAGAUAACACCAUAAAAAACAAAUCAAAAUAAAUUAUAAAGUACAAUUUUAAGUCAAUACAAUGAAAUUGAAAAAAAUUCACUUUAAAAAAGGACUUAAAGGAUAAACAUGGUCAACUCAUAUUAAAUCGCUAAAUUAGUGACUUAGAUAACCAUGUCGGGAUCUUCUUAUAAAAAAACAAAUCAAAAUAAAUCAUGAAUCAUAAAUUUUAUUUAAUAAAAUUUUGAAAAAAAAAUAAAAAAAAUAAGUCAACUGAGUUAACUUGUUAAAUUUAUGAUCUGAGUUAUAAAAUUAAAAUAACUUUAUAAAAAAACAUAACAAAAUAAAUCAUGAAAUCUAAUUUUAAUAAAUUAAAAGGAAAACCAUGAAAACAGAAAAAACAUAACACUAUUGAAAUAAUCAAUGUUUUCAUGGGGCGGUGCGUAGUAAAAUCACAAUUGUUUUUAUUUUUUGUUUUGCUAAAUUAAAUAAAUUUUGGAAAAGAAGAUGUCGAAGACUAUGGUUAUCCCAAGUUCGGUGCAGGAAAUUCCUAGCUCAACGUGGGUAUACGAUGUGCUCUUUCCAAACAGCUUUAAGUUACAGGAAACACAAGUCACCAAACACGUGUCAUAUAAUUAAUCCCGUCAAAACACAUCGAGAACCUUCCUCUCUAAUCGCCAAACACGCAAGCACACACAGCCUCUCAACAAAAAGGCGCAAAUCGGACCGUAGAUUAUCUUCUUAGCCAAAACAUCACAGCCGUUGGAUCUCUUAGGGUGUCUAUAUAAUUAGGUUUCCUACUAUAACGCUGUCAUCUCUUUCCCCUUAAAGGCGCAUCUUCCCCUAUUUAUAUUCCACUCUACAAUCUCAAUUUUCAGAUCCAAAAAAUAACUCUCUCGGGUUCUCUCUUAUUUGUCUUCAGAUUCUAGUAGAUCGUGAAAUGAUCUAUCUUCUGACCAAGCAUUCUCUUGGUCCCGGAUCCGAUUUCUUGCGUAGGCUUCCCGGCCUAAAUAGAUCUGAUAUCGAUGUGAUGUGCCUCUCUUGGCUUGAAUUUGGAUCGGAAAAUCUUGAAGGAUCGUGCUGCCAAUUAACGUAGUCUAUGGAGGUAUGAUUUCCAGCUAGAUCUAUUUUGCUGAUCUUUGAUUUUAUAAUUUUCUUGAAUUUUCGAGAUUUAUAUUUUGCAUCCUUUUCAGUUUUGUGAUUCGAUCUGGUGAAAAUAUUUUUUGUUGUCGAGAAUCCGGAUUUCUUGCUGAGGAGGAGAUCUCUUCUUUGCAGGAACACCUAAAGGUGAGUCGGUCUUUGGAUUUUUUAAGGUCUAGGGUUUUAUACUUGAUGAUUUUUUUUUGUUUUUGUUUUCUUUUUGUAAGCAGCGUAUUAAUUUCUGGAUUGCCUGAAACAGAUUACACGGACUAUGGUGAUUCGCUGUUUCGCGGGAUGGAGCAGGGGGUGUUGGCGUUUUGCCGGUGUUCGCGAGUAUUAAUAGGCUGCUAAUGAGUUAUGGGUAAAUUAUUUACAUGUGCUUGUUAAUAUAUUAAGCAAUAUUCUCUCCGACCAUGUUAAAUAGAGUUUAGCGUGAUUAGUGGUUUGUUGGGUGAGUGGCUGAGUUGAUAAAAAGGUGUUGAGAUAUGUUGAUCUCUGAUGGAUGUUGUUAAUUGUGUCAGUCCGACCUUUGCCAUGUCAGGUGCGCUUGCUUGGCAGGUCAAAAAACCUAAUAAAAAAGAGAAUAUUUGUGGGUUUUGAAGGGGGAGAUGGCACGGGAUUAUUUAUUUAUUUAUUUUGCCCGGCUCUCCCCCUUUUGUGUUGGACAGGCUCCUUGUUUCCCUAUCUUUCUACCUCCUUUCUUGUUUCUGCUGGACGGAUACCAAAAACAUUGCACAUCAUACCCGGAAACCAAUGUACCAGAAGGAAUCUGCACUCUAACAACAUCAAUCAUCACCCAAAGGUAUAUUCUGCUAUAGACAAGUUAAUUUCCUAAUAUAUUAUUACUCGCUGUCUGCAUUAAGUUAUCUCCCAGCUUUUGUGGAACAGUUAACUAUUUCAUACAUAAUAUCAUAACACGAACUGAUCACACUACCCUCAACUGCACAACGGCUCUUCAUAUUCAUUUACAAUAUUAUUUAUAGACUUUAAGAAAGGGUUCAUUUAAGUUUACACCUGGUGUAGAUAAAUUGCAGCUCUGACAUCUUAAAGCACAUGUUCACUGGAAUAACGAGAUGUUUGAUUUGCAGCUACCUUCACCAUGGCAUUCUAGCCAUUGCUCACAAUAUCUACAAUCUGACUAAUCUAGCCACACAUGCACCUUUUUUUUGGGUUUUGGUUUGGAAUAACGAGAUGUUUGAUUUGCAGCUACCUUCACCAUGGCAUUCUAGCCAUUGCUCACAAUAUCUACAAUCUGACUAAUCUAGCCAUACAUGCACCUUUUUUUUGGGUUUUGGUUCAUUGCCUGCAAUCUAAUAAUAAUGAAAAAGUCCCAACAAUUUAUGACACUCAACUGCCCCAUUCAAGUAUGGAUAAAACCUGAUAUGCCGUGUGGAAAGACAAGCUAGAUGAGAUCUGAUAUAAGCCCGUUGCAAAGACAAGAUAUAAUAUUGUUUAAGUUUUGAUUCUGAGUAUCUCGACCUCUUACUUUCUAUUUUUUUGAUCACUUUUUAGAUGUUAAUAUUUAUUUACAUUUCAUUUCAGUAUGAUUUUGUUAUGCAAUUAUUGUAGCCAAAAUUUCUCCUUCAGUGUCUCGUCUGUGUUGUAGCACACUGUAUUUGUCAGGGAGGAGUUAUGGAUGGUUGAUUGUUCUCGUGAUAAUCUUUUGUAACUACGGUAUUAUUACAGCUUGUAUAGAGUCUUGAUCAAAUCUAGUCAUCCAAAAUGUAUUUUGGAAGACCUAUUGCUCCUGUAAGCUCUCUUAGCUAAUGCCUUUGCCUGCGACUGUAAUAUUGGAGGGCUUCCAAGGAUUUCCGCAUCAUGAUCCGCCACGCAAAUCCGUGUUGGAAUUUAUCAUGUUCAGCCACUCUGC
rnacentral:lncRNA from 1 species